ACACCAGAACUGGUUCUCUGGUAAGUUACUGCUAAGGGGUUUUGCAAAUCAGCUGUUCUCCUUGAGCUGUUGAUGAGUCUGAUUUGACUUCAGCAAGGAUGGGAAGCGUGCAGCCCGUCAGUCAGCAAACUUCAAAAUCCACACCUUGCCCGUGUGCGGGACUGCCUCUUUGGGGUGGGAAAGGACGUAAAAGAAAAGCCUGGAGACCCAGGAGGUGAGAUGGUGGUUGCAGAGGGCAGAGGGGGAUGCUGAAUGCGGAUGAGGCCUGCAGGGGGUUGGUUGGAGAGGACGAGUGGGGCUGGGGGGAGGUUCCAGAUGGCCCCCACCAGAAUUGCAGCGGAGAUCUGAUGACCAAGAAUUGAAGCGAGGAGGAGGGGCUCCCUAAAUCUGAUCACUUUGCUCCAAAACCGGUGGCUGGCAUCUGAAACGUGACUCAUUGCCUGAGUCUGGGAAUUGACUUUUGAUUUUUCUGUUCCCAAUGAUUUUUAUAAUAUUUAUUUUAUUUUUGAGAGGCGGGGGACAGAACAGGGCGGGGCAGAGAGAGAGAGAGGGAGGCACAGAAUCCGAAGCAGGCUCCAGGCUCUGAGCUGUCAGCACGGAGCCCGACGCGGGGCUCGAACCCACAAACCGCGAGAUCAUGACCUGAGCCGAAGUCAGAUGCUUAACUGCCUGAGCCACCCAGGCGCUCCUGUUUUUAUUAAUUAAAAAGAAAAAAAUAUCUUUCUGAUGAGAUUCUGAGUGUUCCGACCAGGCUUUGUUUUACUCAGAGAGUAAUACAAAGAAAGCGCCUUCUUUUGCACAGCCCCCCUCCUUCUGGUCCCUCCCUCCCUUCCUUCCUAGUGAAAUUUUUGACCGGAAAGCCUAGCCAGGAUGUGGAGAGUUGUGUUUUCCACCUGAAGCAAGGUGGGGCUGCCCUUCUCUUUGUUGCGACAAACUGCGUCACCCCCACCCUGCCGUUCUCCUCUUUGAGCUGGACAAACACAGCGGCAGUGGCCCCGUUGCCAGUGCAGACCUUUGCAGAAUGAGACAAAGCCCUUGUGUAUUUUGCCGGGAAGCACUUGGCUGUGACGUCCAGGCAUGUGAGCGCACAAAAGCGUUUGCGGUGCCCCUGCACACGGCGCUCACACGCACGCCUUCCGGAGCCUCCUUCGAGGACAGCAGGGCCAGAGUGUGGUAAACGUGUUUAUCUUUCUCAGGUUUGGGCAAAGCCCUUCUAGGAAGUAGAUUUUGAGGCAUUGAGAUCAGAAACCUCCUGGGGAAGUGGUAUGCAAUUGUGUGUUUUCGUGUGGUGCAGCGUGUUUGAGCGAUGGCCGUUUGUCAAGAAAGAGAUCCCAUUUCCAGCCCAACACAGACUUGUCCUUCGGCAGCUGACUUGGUGUUUGUGCUGGCUCCUUACCUACAGACAGCAGGGCCCUGGAGGGAGGAAGGACUCCCCAGCUGAGGGCGAGAGGAUAUGUGAAUUGGUGGGUUAGGAACCCUCCAGCUGAUUCUCCUAAUUUAAAGUGGAAAAGAGGGGGGUCUGGGUGGCUCAGGUCAUGAUCUCAGUUAGUGGGUUCGAGCCCCACGUCGGGCUCCGUGCUGACAGCUCAGAGCCUGGAGCCUGCUUCGGAUUCUGUGUCUCCCUCUCUCUGUGCCCCUCCCCUACUUGUUCUCUCUCUCUCUCUCAAAAAUAAAUAAACAUUAAACAAAAAUUUUAAGUGGAAAAUAGACGAGAUGGAGGUGGUUUGUUAGCCAGCCUGAUUUCCAGUAUCCACUACCGAGCAGUUAAAACUCACUUGGAUUUUAUAAACCAUGAAGGCUCUGCAAAGCUGCUCACCACGCCCUGUGUCGGGCUCUAUGAGGGACUGCACGUAGGUUGGGGAGGAACAGGUUGAAACCUGACUUUGAUCAUUAGCAAAGCCAGCCUUCCACAGCAAACAUGAAUCUCCUGGCCAAUCAGAUUAUCUCAGCCUUCCAGCGCCCGUGUGAACUGGCUUGACAGAGAAGCUGGCUGGGCCAGGGUUCAGGUGGGGCAGCCUAGUGCCUAUAAGGUGUGAUUUGAAGGCCUCAGGAAAGACCCACCCUGGCCUGAAAUGUCUUCCCACUGGCUCAUCAAGGAUGUCUGCAAUUUCACUGUUAGUGAGUCAUUCCUUUGUGUUUACCAUGGACAUUCUCCUUGCUGUCCCUCUGAAAUGCAGGUUGCUCUGGGGUAUAGACCUUACAUUCUUAACCUUCUCACCUUAAAUUCUACUAUUAAUCUCUUGGAUAAACCACCACCUCUGUUCCAUUUUUUCUCUUGCUAGUUUUAUUGAGAUAUAAUUGACAUAUAACCUUGUGUUAGUUUUAGGUGUGCCACGCAAUGACUUGAUAUUUAUAUACAUUGCAAAGUGAUCCCCACAAUCAGCUUAGUUCCACUUUCUAAAUCUUAGGCCUCUCUCGAGUCACCUCACCUACGCUGUUCCCUGUGUCGUUCGGUGUAGACAGGAAGCAGAGCUGGAAGCCAGGUGGCCUGGUGUGGGGACAGAGGGGAGGAGGAAGGCGACUGAGGGCGCUGAGGACCAGCAGGCUCUCACGUAGCUUCCUGGCCCCCUAAGGGCUGCCGGCCGCAGUGCUCUGGUUCCAGAUGGCGCACGAGGGGAAAUGUCCUCUCUGCUUUUGGCCAUGGCCGAGCCCUGUCAGUCCUUCAGGGCUCCUUCCCUCGCUACUCUGGCUUCCUUUCCCUCACUCUCCGCACCCGGGCUAUCCCUCCUUCCAACCACUCUCUCGCAGGCAGCCAUCCUCACUGUAAGGGGCCCCCUGAAGAAGAGGGCCUCUCACUGGUACCCCGAGGCGCUACAAGCUCCUGAGCCAGACCGGAGCGGGGUGGGGGGCACCCUUUCCUCUUUCCGCACUUGGGUCUCAAUCCCUCCACGAGGCUCCAGGCAGGGGCCCCACAGCUGCCAACUACAGACACCCCAAGUUGGGCAGCUGGCUGAAGCGGGCGUGGAGGGUGCUCAGUGAGGGGCCAGCCAGGGGCUGCGGGUCUGCACUAAGGCCUUAAACCAUUCUCGCCUCUUCCUCUUUCCCGGGCCUGGAAGAGAUGACGAGCCUAUCGAUGCCAUGGCCCUGCCACGAGGCACGUCGUAUCAGCCCGUGCCUCUCUCCCAGAGUCACCUCCCUCCCUGCAAAGUGGAUAUGCCAUAAAUUCCACUGGAAUGUAAGCUCCAUCAAGGCAGGUAUUUAAAAAAAAAAAAAAAUUUUUUUUUUUUUUUUACAUUUAUUUAGUUUUGAGAGACACAGAGAGACAGGGCAUGAGCAGGGGAGGGGCAGAGAGAGAAGGAGACACAGAAUCCGAAGCAGGCUCCGGGCUCUGAGCCAUCAGCACAGAGCCCGACGCGGGGCUCGAAGAACAUUUCCAAAGAUUUCAUUUUUUUCCCCCUAUUUUGCCCAUCUCCCCACAAAAAUUUAACUUUUUUCUAUCUUUUUUGUUUGUUUGUUUUGAGAGAGAGCGAGCACAUGCACGCUAGAGUUUAUGAGCAGGGGAGGGGGCAGGGGGAGAGAGAAAAUCCUAAGCAAGCGCCAUACUCAUUGUGGAGCCCGAUGCAGGGCUCGAUCCCAUGAACUGUGAGAUCGUGACCUGAGCCAGAACCAGGAGGCGGACGCUCAACUGAGCCACCCAGGUGCCCCUCACAUUUUAAUAGUUACUCAAAAUUGCCCUCCCAAAAGGCUGUAGCCACAUACAUUCCCACUCCAUACCCUUACUGGUUUUUAAUUUAAUUUAUUUAUUUGAGAGAGAGAGAGAGAAGAGGUAGAGAGCAAGCAGGGGAGGGCAGAGAGAGAGGGAGACAGAAUCCCAAGCAGGCUCCAUGCUGUCAGCACAGAGCCUAAUACAGAGCUUGAACUCGCAAACUGUGAGAUUAUGACCUGAGCUGAAACCAAGAGUCAGACGCUUAACCGACUGAGCCACCCAGGUGCCGCAAUACCCUUAUUGGUUUUCAGAGAUCUCUUAUUUUUUCCCAAUCUGUUGGCCAAAAGCCGUUAUCUCAUUGUUAGAAUAAAAACGUUCGGUUCAAUCCUCUUGGCCGGAAAUUGUGAGUGAUUCACAUUAGUAACAUAACCACAUGUAUAGUAAUAAUGCUAUUUAACUGCUAUGUAUUCUGUUACUUAGUAACUAUUUUACAUGGAGUGAGUAAUAAUCAGGAAUAGGUACAGAUCAGUUUUCUCCCCAUAUUCCACUAUGACCUUUAUUUCUAUUUUUAAAAAAAUUUUUGGGGCACCUUGAUGGCUCAGUAGGUUAAGCGGCUGACUUCGGCUCAAGUCAUGACCUUGCGGUCCGUGAGUUCAGGUCCCGUGUCGGGCUCUGUGCUGACAGGUUGGAGCCUGGAGCCUGCUUCUGAUUCUGUGUCUCUCUCUCUCUCUGCCCCUCCCCUGCUGCUCACUUCUCUCUCUCUCUCUCUCAAAAAUAAAUAAACAUAAAAAAAUUUAUUAAGAAAAUUAAAAAAUAUACUUAUUUAUUUGGAAAGAGAGUGCAAGCGUGAGUGGGGGAGGGGUAGGGAGAGAGGGAGAGAGAAUCCCAAGCAAGCUUUGUGCGGUCAGCGCAGAGCCUGAGAUGGGGCUCAAUCCUAUGGACUGCGAGGUCACGAUGAACCAAAAUCAAAAGUCAGACGCUUAACCAACUGAGCCGUUCAGGCACCCACCCUGCCCCAUGACUUUUAGAUGUAAAACACAAGAAUCUGGGGUCUUGGAGGGUGCAGACCUCCACUUCUCCCUGCUUAAUCUGUCUUCAAAGCGGCUCCAGUGAGUUCUUUGGUGCCACAGCCUUGCCUUCCUUCAUGUCCCUUCCUGCCGCACAGCGGCUGUGUCCCGGAAUGGCAUGUCAAAUAGUCCAGUCUCAAGCAGCAGUACGUUCUCUGCCUCUGGGUUUCUCCUUUAAUCAGUUCAGAACACGUCAGCUGGUUUUGUCCUUUGCUUGACUUUGAGGUUAUCAUCAGGGCCAUCUUCGGGUACAUCAGAAGCUAUGUCAUGGGCUGUAUCCCACCUUAAUCUUGUCCAAGCUCACACAUCACCUCGGACAAUGUUUUCCACAGAGGAGUGCAUUUUUCUUAAUGUUUAUUUAUUUUUGAGAGAGAGAGAGGGCGAGCGAGCAGGGGAGGGGCAGAGAGAGAGGGAGAGAGAGAAUCCAAAGCAGGCUCCAGGCUCUGAGCUGUCAGCACAGAGCCUGAUGCGGGGCUCGAACCCACGAAUCGUGAGAAGUGCAUCUUAAAAGGAGGAAAAGCUGUGAGAGCAUUUGGGAUUUUACACUAUUUAAAUUUCGUGUCUAUUUCCCUCCCUUACUCCCACCUUGACUCCGUGUGUUCUUUGCUCUAUUCUUCUCAACCUCUGUAUCCAGGAUAAUAUAAAAAUGGCAGCUAUAAAUGAUUCCUCCCCCCUGUAAGUUUUCUCUAGGCCUGGUUCUUUGUUACUGACAACAUCUAGCUUGGAAUCAUUUAGUGACUCUGGGGCGCCUGGGUGGCUCAGUCGGUCAAGCGUCUGACUUUGGCUCAGGUCAUGAUCUCAUGGUUUGUGGGUUUGAGCCCUGCGACGGCUUCUGUGCUGACAGCUUGGAGCCUGGAGCAUGGUUCGGAUUCUGUGUUUCCCUGUCACUCUGCUCCUCCCCAACUCACUCUCUUUCUCUCUCUCUCUCAAAAAUAAACAUUAAAAAAAAAAAAAGAAUCAUUUACUGACUUUUCUAUUACUCUUCAACCAAGUUGGAACCAGCCUCCAAUAAGGCUGGAUUGAAUAAUGACUUCCUCCUUUGGUUUAUUAGGAUUUUAAGGGUUGUGACUUGUUUUGAUGGUUUCAGAUUAAUUUUGCAAGUUUGUGUCAGAAAGCCAUUUACUUGAAAAUUUGAUCCAUUUUCUAAAGUGCAUUGGAACGGAAUUCCUUUUCUGCCCUUUCAUCCAGUCCAGCUACUACAGGAUCUUUAUUUUGCUGGUUUUAGUAAUAUUACUUUGUUCUUUCUUUUUAAAAAAAAAAUAUUUAUUCAUUUUUGAGAGACAAAAACAGAAUCCAAAGCAGACUCCGGGCUCUGAGCUGUCAGCACAGAGCCCAACGUGGGGCUUGAACUCACAGACCAUGAGAUCAUGACCUGAGCCAAAGGCGGCCACUUAACCCACCGAGCCACCCAAGUACCCCUUACUCUGUUAUUUCUAAAGCGCACAAGUUUUGGCCACAAGGUACGCCAACAGGACGCUGCUAGGUGAUCUAUAUAUUUAGCUAAGAACCAUACUUUCUUCAGGGAUCACUCCUUAUUUUGGAUAUUCUAAUAACUCUGGCUUGGACAUUUUCCCCCUACCUCUGCCACUUCCGAACUGUGUGAUCUUGGGCAAGUUACUCACACUCUCUGAGCCUGUUUUCUCUUGAGUAAAACGAAGUAAGAGUAGCUGCUGUCUCCACAGUGGCCACAAGGGGUUAACACACAAUUUAAAUUGUGGUUGGCAUGUGGUAAGGGCUGAUGUGUUUGCCAUUACUAUGCAGUCCUUUCUGAAAGAAAAAACAUUCCUUUCUUCUGUGGUUAUUUGGACUGCUUCUGAGUCUCAUUUUAUAAUUGAAAACUGAACAAAUUAAAAUAGAAGAAAGAAUCGCUCCAUGCUCAGUUACUCAACCAAACCCUAUAUGGAAAAGGCAAGAUUGUUUCUCUAAAAUAAUUCACACCUGAUUAAUCUAUUAGAAUUUUUGAAAAUUUGUGGACGAAGAAGAAUCGGUGCAAUCGGAUUAAUCUAUGUGUAGGUUUUAGGAGCCUUGGAAGUUUUCAUGCCACUGGUGUUAUCAUUCAGCAGAAAGAAUAUUUCUUCCUUCCUUCCUUCCUUCCUUCCUUCCUUCCUCCCUCCCUCCCUCCCUCCCUUCUUCCCUCCCUCCCUCCCUNNNNNNNNNNNNNNNNNNNNNNNNNNNNNNNNNNNNNNNNNNNNNNNNNNNNNNNNNNNNNNNNNNNNNNNNNNNNNNNNNNNNNNNNNNNNNNNNNNNNNNNNNNNNNNNNNNNNNNNNNNNNNNNNNNNNNNNNNNNNNNNNNNNNNNNNNNNNNNNNNNNNNNNNNNNNNNNNNNNNNNNNNNNNNNNNNNNNNNNNNNNNNNNNNNNNNNNNNNNNNNNNNNNNNNNNNNNNNNNNNNNNNNNNNNNNNNNNNNNNNNNNNNNNNNNNNNNNNNNNNNNCCUUCCUUCUUUUCUUCCUUCCUGCCUCCCUUCCUUCCUUCCUCCCUUCCUUCCUCCCUCCCUCAUUCCUUCCUUCAUUCCUUCCUUCUUUUCUUCCUCCCUUCCCUCCUCCCUCCCUCCCUUUCUCCCUCCCUCCCUUUCUUCCUUCCUUUCUUCCUUCCUCCCUCCCUUCCUUUUCUUCCUUCCUUCCUGCCUCCCUUCCUUCCUUCCUCCCUUCCUUCCUUCCUCCCUCAUUCCUUCCUUCAUUCCUUCCUUCUUUUCUUCCUCCCUUCAUUCCUUCCUCCCUCUCUCCCUUUCUCCCUCCCUCCCUCCCUUUCUUCCUUCCUCCCUCCCUUCCUUCCUUCUUUUCUUCCUCCCUCCCUUCCUCCCUCCCUUCCUUCCUUCCUUCCUUCCUUCCUUCCUAUUGAAUGAUUACAACCUUCCUUCAUCUCUUCCUCCUUCCCCCCCUCCCUCCCUCCCUUCCUUCCUUCUUUUCUUCCUUCCUUCCUUCCUUCCUUCCUUCCUCCCUCCCUCCCUCCCUCCCUCCCUCCCUUCUUCCCUCCCUUCCUCCCUAUUAAAUGAUUACAACCUUCCUUCCUUCCUCCCUUACUCCCUCCCUCCCUCCCUUCCUUCCUAUUGAAUGAUUACAACCUUCCUUCCUCUCUUCCUCCCUUCCUUCCUUCCUUCCUCCCUCCCUCCCUCCCUUCUUCCCUCCCUUCCUCCCUUCCUUCCUACUGAAUGAUUACAACCUUCCUUCCUUCCUCCCUUCCUCCCUUCCUUCCUUCCUUCCCUCCCUUCCUUGCUUCCUUUCUUCCUUCCUCCCUCCCUUCCUUCAUUCCUUCCUUCUUUUCUUCCUUCCUGCCUUCCUUCCUUCCUCCCUCAUUCCUUCCUUCAUUCCUUCCUUCUUUUCUUCCUCCCUUCAUUCCUUCCUCCCUCCCUCCCUUUCUUCCUUCCUUUCUUCCUUCCUCCCUCCCUUCCUCCCUCCCUCCCUUCCUCCCUCCCUUCCUUCCUUCCUUCCUUCCUUCCUUCCUUCCUUCCUUCCUCUCUCUAAGCCACAAACAUUUCCAGAGCACCUGCGACACUGUCCUAGGCUCUACAAACAGGGACACAAAGACAAAUAAUCCAUGGUUCCAGCCCUUAGGAAAGUCUAGUGGGGGAUGUUCUUACUACUCAUGGUGAGGAAAAAUUUAAGUGCCCCCAACAUCCUUCUGAAAGCUUGGGGCAAGGGAGAUAAACCAUCUGUGAAAAGGAAGCACGAAUAAGAAGAUUCACCGGUUUGAAAUUGAAUCCCAUUCAUCAAGCUCCAGGUUGCUUUCUCCCAGGAGAAGAGUAAUUUCUUGGGAUGAUGUUCAACUUGUGCAAACCCAUGGAAAGAACAUUCCGUUGAAGUUGCUGAUAGUGAUCAUGUUCUCCAUGAACUGGUUUCCAUGUUGCUGCCAGAUGGAAUCCUGGCAUCGGCCAGGGAAUCCCGUGGCCAGGUGGGCCUGCCUUCCUGAUGGGAGCCCCCAUCCAGGAUGGUUACCCAGGAUUGCAGCUCUCCCACCGAAAGUUUCAGGAACUCCCCCGGUGGAGUCCACUGGUUGGAACUCCUGUGCCACAGCAUGAAGCUCGGUGCUGGACAGAGAGAAGAUGCUCAGCGGACGGUAACUCACAACCCUCCUUUCCACACCUUCGCUCGACAGCAACUUGUUCUCAGAGUUACAUGGUACCUUAAAUCCCCGUGGACGGGGACCCGGUCUGCUGAGCUGAUGAACCCUAGAUAGCAUUGCCCCCCCUUGUAGGAGGUUCACUGGACUUUCACAGAAGGAUGUCUUUCAGUUUUUGCCAACUCUCUUAAGAUUCUGUCAUCUCUCCCACAGGCAGAGCGUCCAAGUGAGGGAGGGGGAGGCCGGGCUGGGAUGGGGUGGGGGGGCAGAGUGGGGGCCUCGGGGUUUUCCAGGCACCCGUUGAGACAUGUUAAUCGGUUGGACGAUCUGAAGAGUGGCCUGUGAUAAUCCUUGUCCUUUGUUAGAACACACCACAGCCUUCAGCACUGGGAUGCAAGGACCAGACUAAGCCCGAGGAAACUGGCAACCGAGCAGGGCAGUUUCGAUCUCCAUCCCAAAUGCAGGUGAGAGAAGGACGGGGGCCUGAAAGAAUGGCUGUGGGAAGGGUACCCUCGAUCCAGCAGAGGGCUCAUGGGAGUGCCUGCAGAGGACCAUGCCUUCCCGGCGGCGGUGCAGAAGUCUCUCCCUCCCCGGGGGCUAGGAAUUCAAGUCUUCCUCCCCCUUCGGCUUCUGGAAAAGCGUGUGGAGAAUGCACUUGCUACAGAAGAAUUCUCAAGGCUUGCUCCGCACCCCCCCCUCCCUUUUUUUUUCCCCCAGUUAGUUUACAUACAGUGAGGGCUUCCUUUGAAAGGAGGGCUGCUGGGGCGCCUGGGUGGCGCAGUCGGUUAAGCGUCCGACUUCAGCCAGGUCACGAUCUCGCGGUCCGUGAGUUCGAGCCCCGCGUCGGGCUCUGGGCUGAUGGCUCAGAACCUGGAGCCUGUUUCCGAUGCUGUGUCUCCCUCUCUCUCUGCCCCUCCCCCGUUCAUGCUCUGUCUCUCUCUGUCCCAAAAAUAAAUAAACGUUGAAAAAAAAAAAAUUUAAAAAAGAAAGGAGGGCUGCUGGGGAUUGUUUACAUGCUUAUAGGACAGUGUCUAUUUUUCGGGGGUGGGGAGGGGCAGAGAGAGAGGGGGAGAGAAUCCCAGGCAGGCUCCACGCUGUCCGCGCAGAGGUCGACUCGGGGCUCGAACUCACAAACCAUGAGACGGUGACCUGAGCUGAAAUCAAGAGUGGGACGCUUACACUGCUGAGCCACCCAGGCGCCCCCUAUAGGACAGUGUCUAUUAAAUGAAGAGUUCAGGGUGGGGCCGAGGCCAGAGAUUUACGAUUAAAGGGUUCCUAUCCAGGUCUAGUUGAAGAUCAACCAGGGUUUAAGGAAAAACUAUAAAGGAAAUGUUUUCUCAGGCCUCCUGGAGGGGAGGCACCCACGUGAAGGGCGAGACGGAGGAACAAGUAACUGCAGAGUGGAAGUCCUGGAUCAUAGGGGACCGACCAAGGACUGUUGGCUCAGUCCAGGCCGUAGCCAUGAUUUGGGCCUGCACAACAAUUAAACUUUUUUUUUUUUUUUUUAAGUUUACUUACUUAUUUUGAGAGAGAGAGAGGGAGGAGAGGCAGAGAGAGAGAAUCCCAAGCAGGCUCCAUGCUGCCAGCACAGAACCUGAUACAGGGCUUGAACUCACGAACUGUGAGAUCAUGGCCUGAGCUGAAACCAAGAGCUUAACUGACUGAGCCACCCAGGCGCCCCACAAUUGCACUUUUUUUCUUUUUUUUUUGAGGUAAUUGGGCACAUUUAAAAAUCUGGAGAUUUCACAGAAAGUAGGGAAUGUAUGGCUUUCCUUGAAAUGUGAACAUCUUCAUGGAACCUGUCAGUUGGAGCGAGUGACAGUCCUGUCACUGGGGAAUUGGAGUUCAUCAGCACCCCCUUGUCCCAGGGACCCCCCUCCUGCAUCCCAGCACUACGUGGGGCUGAGCCCUCCGGGGGGUUCUGUGCAUCCCCUCCCCUCACCCCUUCUCUCCCCAGCACCCCACCUCUACCCUGGCGUCUCCUGUCCACUAAUAAAUCUGUGCGCCCCCUUCCCUGUUUAAAGACAGUCCCCUCUGGCUAGCUGUGGUGCUGUCCCUGUGGAGCCAACCUGCUAGAAAGGGUGCCUCUUCCUUGCCUCCUACUCACCCUAGUGCCCCCCCUCCACCGCCCCCCUGCCCUCACCCCUCCCCCCAACUAAAGUUGUUCUUGCUUAUCCUUAUACUCUAUGCAGCUCAGUCCCUGGGCACUUGGUGCCGUGUGUCCCCCCCUCCUGGAAGGCUUCUCCUCCCUCUGCUUAGUGACAUCUCUUGAUUUUUUUUUUUUUUUUCAGUUGAUUGAUUUAUUUUGAGAGUGAGCGAGCGAGUGCGAGCUGGGGAAGGGCAGGGAGAGAGAGGCAGAGAGAGAGUCCCAAGCAGUGCAGGGCUCGAACCCACGAAUCGCGAGAUCAAGACCUGAGCGGAAACCAAGAGCCUGAAACAGUCAACCGACUGAGCCCUCCAGGUGACCCACAUCUCUUGUCUUGAGGUCUGUGUGGUUAGGGGGGACUCUCCCCUCCCUUCCCAGGCCCUCUGGGGGCUCUCUUCUCGCAAGCUUGCAAAUGGCAGAACUUCCCAGGGACCUGGCCUGGGGUCUUUAUUUUACUGACUCUAGACUCUCCCUGGGUCACCUCGUGGGGCCUGCUGGUUCAAGCCUGCUUUUCCAAGCGCCAGGCCUGACGUCUUAGAUUUUCAUUGCUUACUGCAGUCGCCUCCUAACUGGUCUGCCUGUCACAGAUCUGUCCCCUCCGCGGCUGGAGUGAGCUUUAAGUAGAGGCCAGCCUAACAUCUUUGACGCCAGCUGAGCAAAGUGCUCACAGGUGCCCAAAGUCACUGCGCUGGUGCCAGCUCCUGUGUGUUCACGAUGCCCUUCCACACGCCUUCUGCUUCCUGUUUUUGCUGGGCAUUUGAGUCACGAACCCAGGCCCACCUGAGCCUCUGGGCUCGGUGUCCCUUCUCUGUGUUCUCCCAUGGUGCCCGGGCAUCCCUGUUUCGGCUCCCACAGUAUGAGGCUUCCACCAGACUUCACAUCCAGUGGGGACCAGGAAGGUCCCCGGCACAGCGUGCCAGGCGCAUAAAAGAGAUGAUUGCAAGAGCUUCGGGCUGGCUUCCCGGCCGCACGUGGCCGGAUAAUCCUCUCUUGCCCCUUUGGGAGCGAAUUCUAGCUUCUCACGGUGUUUGCCUUGCCCACGCGGCACUUUUUGCUUGUACGGUGUCCUUCGUCGACAUUUAUGAAGUGUCUUGAGAUUUAAAGGUGUUCGGGAUCCUUCCUCAAAGGACUUGUUAAACUCUGAUGCAUAAUAUCUAGCCAGUUCGAUGAGCAUUUAUCGAGAGCCGGCGCGGAAGGAGGCGGAAUUAAAGCAGCCGAGAACGGGGAUUCAGAUCAAGUGUGUGCAGCUUAGAGGAACUUGCUGUGGCUUUUUGUCUGGCUGUGGCUUAGUCUAAACUAGAGGGAGAGAUUACAGUUAUAUCUGUCGGGGACUCAUCGACAGACCGUGUCACAGGCUUUCCCCAGGUCACGAUCCUGGGUGGCUCAGCUGGUUGAGCAUCUGACUCUUGAUCUCAGCUCAGGUCUUGAUCUCAGCGUCGUGAGUUCAAGCCCCGCGUUGGGCUCCAUGCUGAGUGUGAAGUCUACUUAAAAAAAAGAGGGGGGGGUGGUGGUGGUGGAAAGAAACCAACUUCUAUGUCCCGCACUUUCAUGGACUUUGAAGCUGAGUUUUGUGUCAACAUGACUUCACUGGGAUGCUGGAAAUGAACCUUUUCUGCCCCUGCCAGGAGCCUCCGGCUCUCUCUAAAUCAACUCCUCCGGAGGAUUCUGCCCUUUCCCUUAAUAGUUAAAAACACGUUUGAACGGCACACAACUUGUGUUUGCUUCCUCGCGGCAACACGGCUGUCAACUGUUGUCAUAAAGGCGUUUCGGGAAGGAGAUCAGCGGGUGUGACCAGAAAGCCACUGCUGCACUUUGAGAUACGACUGUGAGGUUUCAGCCAGGGCGCUUUUCAGUCGAGGCAUCUCCCCGGUCACACAGUGUCCUAAGGGCUCAAGUGGAAGCCUGGGAAAUUGGCCACAGUGUCGCAGGUCACGCUGUCUGGCACCAGGAGCCGUGUAGCCCUGCUCUGGGACUGCACUGCUUGGGGUCGAAUCCUCGUUCCUGCCCAAACUCUGAGCUUGGGAAGUUCCAGUGUCCUCAUUUGUGAAAUCCUGGUGGGAUGAUUGGGCGACUCCUCUUACAUGGUGGCCGCGUGGUUUGAGCCCCUUGGUCCCUAGAUGGUGCUUAGACACAUAGUAAGUGUGAGCUGUUGCCAUUAUGCCCUUUCAUCGGCCUCGCCUGGGACUGUUCACCGUGGGCACUUGCUCUAGGUCAACAAAGCUGUCAUCAGCUGUCCCCCACCGUUUGCGUACCUCACUGUCCCUGUGCCUGGUGUUCGAGGCCCCUUUGCUCUCUGCUUCUCUGAGCAUCUUAUUCUAGUCCUGUCCUCUUCCGUAUUGUCUUUGCUGCCUACAACAAGCUUCUGUUUUGCCCCUGCCCGCCCCCCCCCCCGCCCCCGCAGUUCUCUCCCUCUCCCAAUUCCGAAGCCUCUGGAUGGAAUGGAUGCAGACAUUCCUGUGCCCAUGGCUAACCGUGGGGCAACUCUAGGAUAAUUUUUCAUUUGCCUUUGUGUUUGUAAAUCUUAUAGAACCCUUGCCGGUGGACUAACCCGUGAGAUCACCAUCUAUUUUCUAAAAGUUCUCUUUUCCUCCCCUCCCCUCCCCUCCNNNNNNNNNNNNNNNNNNNNNNNNNNNNNNNNNNNNNNNNNNNNNNNNNNNNNNNNNNNNNNNNNNNNNNNNNNNNNNNNNNNNNNNNNNNNNNNNNNNNNNNNNNNNNNNNNNNNNNNNNNNNNNNNNNNNNNNNNNNNNNNNNNNNNNNNNNNNNNNNNNNNNNNNNNNNNNNNNNNNNNNNNNNNNNNNNNNNNNNNNNNNNNNNNNNNNNNNNNNNNNNNNNNNNNNNNNNNNNNNNNNNNNNNNNNNNNNNNNNNNNNNNNNNNNNNNNNNNNNNNNNNNNNNNNNNNNNNNNNNNNNNNNNNNNNNNNNNNNNNNNNNNNNNNNNNNNNNNNNNNNNNNNNNNNNNNNNNNNNNNNNNNNNNNNNNNNNNNNNNNNNNNNNNNNNNNNNNNNNNNNNNNNNNNNNNNNNNNNNNNNNNNNNNNNNNNNNNNNNNNNNNNNNNNNNNNNNNNNNNNNNNNNNNNNNNNNNNNNNNNNNNNNNNNNNNNNNNNNNNNNNNNNNNNNNNNNNNNNNNNNNNNNNNNNNNNNNNNNNNNNNNNNNNNNNNNNNNNNNNNNNNNNNNNNNNNNNNNNNNNNNNNNNNNNNNNNNNNNNNNNNNNNNNNNNNNNNNNNNNNNNNNNNNNNNNNNNNNNNNNNNNNNNNNNNNNNNNNNNNNNNNNNNNNNNNNNNNNNNNNNNNNNNNNNNNNNNNNNNNNNNNNNNNNNNNNNNNNNNNNNNNNNNNNNNNNNNNNNNNNNNNNNNNNNNNNNNNNNNNNNNNNNNNNNNNNNNNNNNNNNNNNNNNNNNNNNNNNNNNNNNNNNNNNNNNNNNNNNNNNNNNNNNNNNNNNNNNNNNNNNNNNNNNNNNNNNNNNNNNNNNNNNNNNNNNNNNNNNNNNNNNNNNNNNNNNNNNNNNNNNNNNNNNNNNNNNNNNNNNNNNNNNNNNNNNNNNNNNNNNNNNNNNNNNNNNNNNNNNNNNNNNNNNNNNNNNNNNNNNNNNNNNNNNNNNNNNNNNNNNNNNNNNNNNNNNNNNNNNNNNNNNNNNNNNNNNNNNNNNNNNNNNNNNNNNNNNNNNNNNNNNNNNNNNNNNNNNNNNNNNNNNNNNNNNNNNNNNNNNNNNNNNNNNNNNNNNNNNNNNNNCCUUCCCUUCCCUUCCCUUCCCUUCCCUUCCCUUCCCUUCUUUUCUUGUUUAUUUACUUAUUUGGAAGGAGAGACAGAGUGUGUGAGUAGGGGAGGGGGCAGAGAGAGAGGGAGAGAGAGAAUCCCAAGCAGGCUCCGCACUGUCAGUGCAGAGCCUGAUCCUAGGCUUGAACCCACCAACCGUGAGAUCCUGACCUGAACUGAACUCAAGAGUCGGACGCUCGACUGACAGAGCCACCCAGGUGCCCCACCAUUUUGUUUUUUGCCUCUAUGAAUUAACUACUUAGGUCACUCGUAUCAGUGGAACCAUACAAUAUUUGUCCUUUUGUGCCUGGCUUCAUUUCACUCAGCAUACUGUCCUCAUGGUUCAGCCAGGUUGUAGCAGGUGUCAGAAUUUCAUUUCUUUUUAAGGCUGACUAAUGUUCCAUUUGUACGUGCAUAUAUGCAUGCCGCCUUUUGUUUAUCCAUUCGUCCAUCCAUUAUGGACAUUCAGGUUGUUUCCACAUCUUCGCUAUUGUGAAUAACGCUGCCAGAAACAGUAUGGCACCUGUUUCCAACCCGCUCUGCCUGUUUCUGCCCCGGGAACCCUCUGGUCUCCUCUUAGCCCAGCAACAGGUUGGAGCCUUUUAAAACAUGAGUCAAAUAACGUCAUUCCUCACUCACAACCUUCCCUUGCUCUCCCUCUGACUCGAGGCAGAUCUCAAGGGCUUGCGAAGGUCUGCUGGCCCUCACCACUCUUCUGACCUCAGCUCUCGUCUUUUAUUGAGCUCCGGCCACAAGGGUUUCCUUGCUCCUUCACCUCAGGGCUCCUGCAUUUGCCAUGAACUAUGCCUGGAACGUUCUUCCCUCGAUCAGCUCUUUGCCCUCCAGUGUCACUUGACCGGAGAGCCUUCUUUGAUACAUAAAGUAACAAGCCCUCCUUCCCCUGACCUCAAACACCGCCAUUUACCCAUUUCCCUAUCGCUCCCUGGAGUAGAUUAACACCCUAAUUUGCUCGCUUCCUUCUUCCUCACUAGAAGGUAAGCUUCAUGUUGUCAGGGGCUCUGUUUGGUUUCCUCUGGUGUCCUCAGUGCCUAGCACAUAGUGUGCUCAGUUCGUAUCUGUUGAAUGAAUGGGCGGUGCUUUGAGGUCCCCACCUUAACGGACCCCUGAUGUUUCUGUGCCUCUGACCAUUGGGCAGAGGCGACAAGAUCCUGCUGCUGUCAAGGCUUCAGUGUCAUCCUUCUGGCCCAGGGCAGCUUCAAAAUGAAGUGAAACUGGUUGAUCAGCAUUUGCCGCUCCCUUUGGCCUCAGUGGGUUCUUAACAUGCAUGUCCCUGAUGGCUGCAAGGAUUUCUCCUAAAAUACACAGCCCUUCAAAGACGUGUCCCACGCGUGGUGUUCCUCACACGGGGCUCUUGUGGGUAUCUUCUCAGGGGCCCGAGGAUUCGACCCGAUUUGAAAUUUUGUUUUCACAUUUUGAUGACACUCUGUGAAAAGAGAAAGAAUGGAAGCGUACUUACUUUUGUGUUUUUGUUUGUUGAUGACCGUCUUCCCGCCAAGGAGUGCCACAUAAGUGGUUCGCGGGAGGUGUUCGCUUUUGUCUGUGGAUGGUACUCUCGGUACCCAGUGACCACCUGAGGCAAUGGCCUCUAAUUCUUAAACUGGGGUCAUUGGUUCGUGGAGGUCUUCCUGCAAAUCUGUGAUCAUUUUUUUUUUCCUGUAAAAGGUGUCUGAGAAGUAUUCGGACUGCACAGCCAUUAACCACGAGCUAGAGUGAAGGCUGAGAUACGAUACCAGGAUAGAAAUCUUCCAGGCUCCAGGUGGUUGUUUCACAAGGGUCUGAGUCAGCCGGAGACAACGGGGUACAAAAACAGAGGCAGGAACCUUGGCUGUAGAGUCUGGAACAGCCUCUGUCUCUGAAUUAACCGUGUGGCCCUGGGUUUGUCAACUCACCUUUCUGGGUCUCAGUCCUUCAUCUUUAAGUUCUCUUCCAGCUCAGACAUUUGGUUUUGUGAGGUCCGUCGAGCAGCAAUGUCCAUUUGAACACCAAGAGAAAUACUUUGUUGGUACCGAGCCCAGGGCACUGGCAAUGAGGAUUAACAAUGACUACAUUUGACGGGUGUCCAUUCAAAUCUUGCUUUCUCCAAAUGGCUUUUUCUGAAGACUUUAUCUAAAAUCACACCCUGAUCUCUGUCCCAUUUAUCCUGUUCGAUUUCUCUUCAUAUUCUUUUCCUAUGUUUUUGAGGAAAUCUGACUCUUUUUUUUUUUUUUUUUUAAUUUUUAUGUUUUAUUUCUUACAGCUUUCAAAUAUGUAUACUUCCACACUUUCAAUUAAAGAUAAUAAAACUGUUAACUAUAUAAAAUGAAGGAUUUUUUUUUUAAAUUUUUUAAAUGUUUAUUUACUUCUGAGACAGAGAGAGACAGAGCAUGAGUGGGGGAGGGGCAGGGAGAGAGGGAGACACAGAAUCCGAAGCAGGCUCCGGGCUCCGAGCUGUCAGCACAGAGCCCGACGUGGGGCUCGAACUCACAGACCGUGAGAUCACGACCUGAGCCGAAGUUGGUUGCUCAACUGACUGAGCCACCCAGGUGCCCCGAAAUCUGACUCUUACUAUCAUUAUUAUUUGGUCAUUUCUUAUUAUCUCUUUUCCUUCUAAAGGUCGACUCUAUAAGGUGGAGUCUUUUCUAAGACUGUGCCCCAGAACCUUGGGACACUGCCUGUCAUUUUGGAGACACCAGUCAACCUUUGCUGAAAAGCCUAAUGAUUUGAGCACCUCGUUUGGUUUGGGUACUGUCCCAAGUGCUUUACCCUUCAAUCAGUACGUGCAUUAAGGAAGAAUUAUUAUUAGCCUUACGCAGUGGCUGAGAAAACUGGGGUCUCAUGACUUCCCUCUAAGGGUCAGAGCUGGGACUUGAACCCAGGUAAGUUGUCCACCUUGCUGUAUUCAUCCCUAGCUUUGGGACCUCUACGGGAGGGCUCUGGUACCAAAUGCAUCAAGGCACAGGUAGGGCUCUGUUUCUCCUCUCUUCUUUCUAAUAUUGCUCUGUUCAUGGGGAAAGGGAAAAUCAAACUCUCAUUUAUUGAAGAGGCUAUACUUUCCCCAUUGUGUAUAUCCCUGGCUCCUUUGUUAUAAAUUAAUUGACCAUAAAUGCAUGGGUUUAUUUCUGGGCUCUCUAGUCUGUUCCAUUGACCCGUAUAUCUGUUGUUAUACCAAUACCAUACUGUUUUGAUUAUUGUAGCUUCGUAAUAUAGUUUGAAGCCAGGAAGUGUGAUGCCUCCAGCUUUGUUCGCCUCUCUCAGGAUUGCUUUGGCUGUUUUGUGGUUCCAUACAAGUGUUCGAUUGUUUUUUCUAUUUCUCUGAAAAAUGUCAUUGGGAUUUUGAUAGAGAUGGCAUCCACUCUGUAGGUUGUUUGGGGAAGUGUUGGCAAAAAUCAAACUCUCAGAGCCCUCCCUGACUGCCUUUGUUUGCUCUGGCUGUACAGAAAACACUGGGCAGAACAUUCCAGAACUGGGUGGCUCGUUAGCUUUCCUCUGGUUCCACCCAUCCCUUCAUUUUAUUUUACUUUAUUAUUAUUUUUUAAAAAUGUUUAUUAAGUUUUGAGAGAGAGUGCAAGUAGGGAAGGGGCUUAGAGCGGGAGACAGAGGAUCUGAGAUAGGCUCUGCUCUGAUGGUAGCCAGCCGGAUGUGGGGCUUGAUCUCGCUAACCUCGAGAUCAUGACCUGAGCCAAAGGCAGACGCCUAACCGACUGAGCCACCCGGGUGCCCCAACUCCCAUAAUGUCUUGAACUACAAACUGGCAAAUUCGUGAGCCUUCAGCAGUCUGACCGGUAAACCAGAAGGCCCGUGGAGGGAGUGCCGCGGCCCACCCCACCUGGUCUGUCGCCAUCUAGUGGCCCGCUCGGGUGUCCCCUAACGUGGGUGCUGUUCAGUUUCUGUAGAAGCAGUUGCUCCCUGAGGUCCCUGCCUCUGAGCAGGCUGCCUUCCAGGCAUUUCUUCUUCAUCUGAAAACCACGUCUUUCAAAAUGUCAUCUUUUGGGGGGUCAGAUGCACCAGGAUGAGCUUCAGGACCAUGACGUGGGCAUCUUUGUAUCUUCAUGCUUCUGACCGUUAACUGUCUUCAUCUUUUUCCUCCUAGGCCUCCUAGGGGUUAAAUGCUAUCAGGAAGAAGCAGGGCAAGUUCCCCUGCUUACUCUGCACAUGAGGAAUGAGGAAUAUUUGACGUUCAUGAGUAAGCUAUUGCCUAUUGAUGUUCCGAUUACAGAGAAAAUGUCCUUGUUCCUCUUUGUUACCCGUGAAACGGCGGCGAACGGUGCAAGAUCGACUAUAAUUAUGUGCUUGAGUGAUGUGGUCUCUAUGAUACUAGGUGCAGAAAUUCAGGGGAAGAGAGUAUUGGAGAUGGUCAGAAUGGCCAGGUAAUAAUAAAAACAAAAAUAACACGAGAACUAACCUUUACCAAGCACUUUCUAGGUGUCAGGCGUGAUGCAAAUGCUUUAUGUGACUUAAAAAUCCCCACGAAAACCCUAAGACGCAGGUGCACUCGUAUCCCUAUUUUACAGUGGAGGAGUGUGAGACAUAGAAAGAUCGAGUAAUUUGCCCAAAGUGAUAGAGAGCUGGGAGGGGCAGAGCCAAGGUUUGGAUCCAGACUGGGCAGCUCCAGAGUCCUUUCUCUAGAAUGCUACACCUGAUGGUCUUGAUGAUGGCUUUGUGAAGGAGGUGGGCCUGGAGCCUUGAAGCACGAGAGGUCCUGCAGCAUGGGGACAAUCUGAGAGGUGGCCCAGGGAUGGAGUAGGCAUGGCAGGCCCCAACAGGGAAGGAGAGACUGACCUCACUUGGGAGAGGGCACGUGCUGAAGAGCAGUGGGGAGGAUGGCGAGGCAGUAGAGUGGGGACAGAUGAUAAAAGGUCUUAACAUCUAGGCAGAGAGGGUUUGGUCUUGAGAUCUCCUUUGAAGUGUGUUACAAGGUGGCUUUCUAGAAGCAGAGGUUUGGGUGGCAGCGACAGGUCUGAGGGUAGGAGGUGUGGAGGCAGGAAUGAAGCGUUGAGGGUCUAGCCUAGGAUGAUGCAAGAGGCCUGGAAGCAAGGGAGCGCAGUGUGAGCGAAUUCACAGACGGGAACAGAGGUGGGAAAAGAAGCUCCACAUUCUGCUGGCUUUGAGGUUCUGAGUCUGGCAGGAGGCACAGUGUUGACUCCAUGGGCUGAGAGCUCACUGCUUAACUCACCCAAAGUGCUCUCACAGAGAAUUAAACAGAUAGGACAUAAUCAGGUUAUUGGUCUUAAAAGGCUACUGAGAAUUUUUCCUAUUGAUUGUGUCAGUCAGGGUUUGAUCAGAGAAGUAGAACCCCUGUGAGCUAUAGAGAAGAGGGGCUUUAUCAUGCGGGGCAGAGCUCCCGGGCUGGUGGGAGGUGGGUCUGAAGUCUGUACAAGGUGUUGUCCUUCUGUCUUAUCUGGGCCGGCUCAGGGAGGGACGAUGGAAGCAAAGGGAUAGACUGGAACCACCAGCGUUGGGGUGCGUGGGGGUGCGUCUGCCCUCCACCACCUUUAGAGCAGAACAAAAUGGCGGUGCUUCACUUGCGCCUUCUAGAAAAUGUAGCCACACUGUCCUUGUCCACAUACAAGGCAGAUUCACUUUUCUUUAAUCUUUCUAUUGGCCUCAUCACGUACACAGGUGGCGGGAGGUUUCCUGCAGCCGCGUCUUCUGCAUUCGCCUCCUAGGGCCUCUGGAACGAGGUGCCAUUGACCAGGUGGCUCGAACCGCAGAGACUUCUUGUCUCACGGUUCUGGAGGCUGAAGUCCAAGAUCAAGGUCUCGGCACGGUUGGUGUCUUGAGGCCUCUCUCCUCGGCUGGUAGAUGCUGGUCUUCUCCCUGGGUCUCCAUGUGGUCUUCCUUCUAUAACUGCCCGUGUGCUUAGGUCCUCUGGCGAGUAAGGACACCAGCCAUAUUGGAUUCGGCCGCCUCUGAUGACCUUACUUUCGUCUCUUCUUUAAGGACCCGUCUUGAAAUACAGUCCCAUUCUGAGGUGCCGGAAGUUAGGAUUUCUCCAUAUGAAUUUUUUGAGGGUAUGGUUCAGCCUCUCACACUUUCUUUCUCAUCCUACUUAACCUUGUGGUGAAGGAUUAGCCCCACAGCUAGACCGACGGCUCCGGCUCUUACCUCUGGUUACUCAUGGAAGGCAGCCUCUGGGCUUUUUUGGGAAGGUCAAGGACGUUAUUUUCUGAGGCCUGUUUUCCUGUGCGAGGCUGUCUUCGCCCAGGCAAGGGGUGUUCCUCCUCCGUGCCACACAUUCCGACUUGGUCAGAUCAGAAAGCAGCAAAUCCAGGGGGAAUUUUUUUUUUUUUUUUUUUUAACUGUCUGCAGAAUCCCUUGCAUAGCAGAGAGCUCAGGAAGGAAGGCCCUGUUUGGGGACAGAGGUCAGGGGCCCUUCAGAAAGGGUCAGGCCCUCCUCUGCUAAUCCCAAGUCUGCUCGAUUAGCCUCUAGAAUGAACUUUGACACAACCCAAGAAUGUAAUUUAACCCUUGAGCUUUAUUUUCUCUCGUCCCUAAAACAUCAGACUCCUGGGGGAUUUAGAAAGGGGCUGGGGCAGGCAUAGCAAGGACAGGGUUCGGUGGCUCUCGCUUUCCAGGACAGCUGGCCACUGGGGCUUGCCUGAGCCCCCUGGCAGGAAGCAGAGUCUGGGCGAGGCUUCCCGAGUCCUGCGUACUGCUGUCCUGCUAGAAAUAGGGAGAGCGGGGUGUGAUACCCUUCUGCAAAUCUGGAAUCAAACCAGAAAGGUACCUGGCAUCUUACUGCUCUCUCCUCGCGUUUCCAGCUCCCUGGCCCCAGCCAAGGUCGCCGUCGCUUUUUGCUGAAGUGAAAAACAGUGGAGAUAUGAAUAUUCCCUAGAGCCACUUUGGAAUACGUUCAAGAAUAGUUUCACAGCGAAACAGGCAAAAGGACGAGAUUGCACAAAGGGCUGGAUCACCCACUUGGAGAGCCGGUUCUAGAAAGAGGACUUUGAUUUCAUGCUAGGGGCUUCACGCGCAGAGGAAGAAGGGAGUGGGCAGCGUUGGGGCGGAGGGGACAGAGGCCUGCUACCUGUCCAGGAGGUCCCCCCGUGCACAGUGACAGGCUGUCAGGGGGACAGCUUAGUAAACGGGUCACGAGCGGUCUGGCAGCCUUCCAACCCUCCUUGUACCUGAGACAAAAAGGCAGGCCUGGCAAAACUAUUUAGGUAAUUUCCUAGUGCAUUUACCACUUCACAGACCCCACGCUACCCGAGAAUGGGGGUCUUGAAAAGAAAUAAAGCCAUCUAAAAUUUGUCCAACUAUCUUAUUACAGUAAGUGCUGAAGUAGGUACAGUUUAUUUUUUUAUGUUUAUUUAUUUUUCAGAAAGAGAGAGAGAGACAGACAAGGUGUGAGUGGGGGAGGGGCAGAGAGAGAGAGAGAGAGAGAGAGAGAGAGAGAGGGAGACACAGAAUCUGAAGCAGGCUCCAGGCUCUGACCUGGUCGGGCUUGAACUCACGAACUGCGAAAUCAUAACCUGAGCCGAAGUCGGAUGCUUAACCCGUUGAGCCACCCAGGCACCCGUGAAGUAGGUAUAUUUUCUAAUCUUCACUGUCUACCUUAGUGAAACUCUUGUGCACCAAGGCCUGGCAGGUCCUAUAUAUAUAUAAUUUAUAUAUAGUAGAAUUUAUAUAUAGUAGAAUAUAAUUUACAUAUUUUUUUCAAGUGUAUUUUUUCAAGUGAUUUUGUGUGGUGUGAACUUUCCUGCUUUCUAACCACGGCCAGGGGUGGUCAAUUUGGGAAAAGCAAAGGAGGAGAAAAAAAAAGGAAAAAAGAAGAGGCUCUCUUCCACCAGUGCUCUCCUGGGGUCUGGAAAGGGGUUACAGUGGCCCCAGCAAGGGCCGCUAACUCCCUGCAGGGUCUGUGGGGAGCACCGGCAGGGACCGGAGGGGUCCAGUUUUAGUCUGGGGAGGCCUCAGGGCCAAGCCGCACCCAGCCCCAGAUGCAGCUGGGAGAAUGGAAUGCCGUGCUGACCAGACCCGCCUGGCCGAGGCUGUGGGAGGCAAGAGGCCAUCCCCAGAAACCACAGGGAACAGUGUGAGGAGAUAAAGAGACCAAGUGCUUUGUGCUCUUAAGAUAACACCCUCUCCUGAGAGGGGGAGGUCCUUGGAGCAGGGCAACUGAGAUUCCAGGCUGCUUCUGGGGGACCCAGACUGAGUAAAACCCUCUGACCAGGUUUUCCUUUGCUCUUGUAUACAUUCCCCAGCCGGCCUUCCUGCUCUUUUCACACGUACUGGAGGCCUCUGGGCCUUUGCACGUGUAAUUCCUUCGGCCAGGAGUGCCCCGGCCGCUCCCUGAGCCAAUUAUCCCUCCGGAUGUUGACAGCCUUCACCCCUCAGGAAAGCCUGAGGUCCCCUGGUAAGUGUUGUCCCAGCUCCCUGCCCCUGGUCUCUGUGACUCCUCCUCUCCUUCGCCACGUUAUAACCCCAGCCUCCAAGAAGUCAGCGAGUCCCUUGCAUGUUGCCACGUGUCUGUGCCUGGAGGUAGUCCUUUGGGGGUGUGAGGGUGGAAGAAGGGAGACCCCUGCCGUCUCCCCCGUGAGGGGGGGUGUAGCAUCCACUUCCAGAUGAGGAAGGUGGGGCUCAGCAGGCCCCGGGACUGGACUCGGGCUACACAGCUCAGAAGGGGUCAUGGUUCCCAGUUCUCACACUUAGGGUGCCUAAGACCCUCUGGGGAGCUGGUUAAAAACAUAGCUUCCUUGCCUGGCUCUCAAGAUUCUGUGUCACGGCUUUUUUUUUUUUUUUUUUAAUUUUUAAUUAAAAAAUUUUGUGUUUUUUUUUUUUAAAGUUUAUUUAUUUACUUCUGAGAGAGACAGAGUGAGCGGGGUGGGGCAGAGAGAGAGAGGGAGAGAGAGAAUCCCAAGCAGGCUCCGCACCAUUAGCACGGAGCCCGAUGAGGGGCUUGGCAUCACAAACUGUGAGAUCAUGACCUGAGCCGAAACCAAGAGCUGGAUGCUUAACCGACUGAGCCACCCAGGCACCCCUUAUUUAUUAUUAUUAUUAUUACUAAAAAAAAUUUUUUUAAUGUUUAUUUUUGAGAGAGAGAGAGAGCGAGCGAGCAGGGGAGGAGGCAAGAGAAAGAGACACAGAAUCUGAAGCAGGUUCCAGGCUCUGAGCUGUCAGCUCAGAGCCCGACGCGGGGCUCGAACCCACAAACCGUGAGAUCAUGACCUGAGCCAAAACCAAGGGUCGGAUGCUUAACCACCUGAGCCACCCAGGCGGCCCUUGAAUCAUUUUUUUUUUUUUUUUUAUUUAAAAAAAAAAAUUUUUUUUUCAACGUUUAUUUAUUUUUGGGACAGAGAGAGACAGAGCAUGAACGGGGGAGGGGCAGAGAGAGAGGGAGACACAGAAUCGGAAACAGGCUCCAGGCUCUGAGCCAUCAGCCCAGAGCCCGACGCGGGGCUCGAACUCACGGACCGCGAGAUCGUGACCUGGCUGAAGUCGGACGCUUAACCGACUGCGCCACCCAGGCGCCCCUUGAAUCAUUUUUAAAGUGCACAGUUUGGUGGCAUUCAGGACAUUGACGCGGUCAUGCAACCAUCGCCACCAUCCAUCUCCAGCACUUUUUCAUCUUUCCAGACAGAAACUGUCCCCAUGAAACACUAACUCCCUGCUCCCCCUCCCCCAGCCCUUGGCAGCCACCCACCCGUCUUUUUUCUGUCUCUAUGGAUUGACUAGGGACCUCCGAUAAGUGGAAUCAUACAGCCUGUGUCCUCUUGUGUCUGGCUUAUGUCAGUGUCAGCAGCGUUUUAAACAAGGGCCCCUGGUAAUGCUCGCCUAGGGGUCUGGACUGCUCCGCGAAAUUCUGGUCGCGGCAGGGAGGAGGGGCGGGAGAAGCGUCCUGGCACAGGCUUGGAGGGCUGAAUUUACAUGGGGUGAGGCAGGAAGGGGUCAGGGGGUGUGGGCUGAGAGGCAGAAAGGGGGAGCGGUGAGGGGGAUGGUGACAGAGGGGCCCUGGGGUGGGCAGCGGCUGGUUUCUGGCAGGUAGUGCUCAGGGCAGGGUGUUGACCAAGGAGCUCAGGGCAGAGGGCCCGUGGAAGGAGAGGUGUGUGGACCAGUCAGGUCAGGGAGGGUCCAGAGGCUGUGGAUCACAGGCCAGGGCGAGGUGCCGAUAAGGCUGGGGUGUGGUGGGGGUGUGUGAGGGCCAUGAGAAAAACCGGAGGGGCGGGUGGUGGUGUCAGAGCCACGCAGGUCAACCCAAGCGGGGGCGCCCUUGAGAAGCAGGGCCCAGAUCCCACCCUAGGCCUAGAGGCAAAAAAGUAGGGUCAUCAGGUCUGGGCAAGCGGGCCUGUGGGCACAAGAGAGAGGUUUGACAUGGGGCCAACCCUUUGCCUCAGUCAGGAGAUUGCGCAGACUUCCUGCUGAGGAGGUGCCCGGGUUCGGGGCAGUGUGACCCUGAGGGCGCGCCCAGGGCGUGGGAGCGGCAAGGUCGACACCCCCCNAGGGCCCCCCCCCCCCCCCCCCCCGACGCCCCACCGCAGACAGCUCGCUCAGGGGUGUCUUUCUCCGCCUUUCCACCCUCUCCCACCCCAUCUGCCUCUGCUCCCCCCUUUCCUCUUAAUUCCUCCUUGUCCCGAGGGCCCUGCACAGAGCUGGCGCACCGCUUUGCCUCCUACGUCUGCCCGGCACCUCACUUUCCCCUCUUAGGACGUGCACGGAAACAGCACCGACGGCAGAGGUCGGUCUUAGGGAUUAGAUGGGAGAACUCAGGUAACGGGCUCAGAGCCGUGCUUGGUGCAGCUGGCAGUUAAUAAAUAUCCGUCAGAACUCACAGAAGUUUCUGGUAGGGUGUGACUUUCCCUGACUUACUAUUAUUUUUCCCACGUAAUGCAACAGAGACUUCGAGAGGAGGCCCAGGACCUCCAGGCGCCGCGUGUACGGACGUGGACAGCAUGGGCAGCGGGCAGUGGGUGAGUGGUGGCCGAGACGGCUUGAGCCGGCCUCCCCCGCUCUGCAGGAUUUCUGCCAUAUCUUGCGGGGAGCGGGGAAGCUGCUGGAAGUCGGCUUGCUUGAGGGAUGGAGGGGUUUUCUGAUAAACAAAUUCCUUUAAGGGAAGAAAGAUUUAGGCUUCAGCUGUUGGAGGUUGCCAGAUGGUUCGACGUGCGGCCUGAGGUGGGACCCUCGAAUAUGUCUUCCUGUGUCUCACCCUUGAGUCCUGUGGAGACAAGGGGGCUGAGUCAGAACGUGGAAGGAUGAUGCCUUCGUGCUCAUCGGUCUGAGGCAGAAGGAAGAGGCGUUUUGCCCAAAUGGGCACGAAGGAUGGGGUGUCUUUGUCGCACUGAGGACCCAGGAAAUACAGUGUGGCCUUGGGCCUUCACGCCCGGUCACAGCAGCACAGUGCCUUGCGGCGACACCACAGUGCCCAGCGGUGUGGUGGCCCCCUUGCAGGUGGAGGAGGUGCCCGGCUAGGGUGGCUGGUGGCUGGUGUGGGGACCCUAGGGUCCACUUGGCAAAGAGUGGGGGUGUGGCCAUCCGUGGAGGGAGACGCUGAGGUAGAAUUCAUGGCAGACCCUUCGUGGGAACAGACUGGGUCUGCUUAGGAGGACAUGUAAGCAGCUGUGUGAGGAUUUCCCAGAGUAAUUGUGUGUGUGUGUGUGUGUGUGUGUGUGUGUGUGUGUGUAAACGGUGGUAGGUGUUGGAGGAGGCCGAGACCCCACCAUAGCUGUUGGAGGAAGAGUCAAUGACACCCACAUCAUCACUGUCAAAAUAGCCCCAACCUUAAGUCCACGUGGGGUGGCCCAGGCAAACACAGGUCACACAUUUAUUAAUAAAAGGUAAUGUUCCCCUUCCUACUGAAAACUGUUUCUCUCUCUCGUCAACACGUGAGGUGGAAGCUGCUUUUGAACUUCACGAGACCUUUCCUUUCUUCCCUACGGGUGUGGAGCUUGAUUUUAUUAAUGUUUUCUCCUCCGGGCUGAGUGCAGUGACCCUCUCUCAAGGAGGGGCUUGGAGGAACCCUCCUUCCCUUAAUCCCUGUCCCUGGCUGGGUCAUCGCAGGGCUUUCUAGCACCCUGCAUGGUGUAUACCAUGGGCACCCUGGCCCCACCCCUCGUCCCCACUCUGUCCCAACUCUAUAUUCCCCAGUGUCCAAUUCCCCCUGGGCUUCUUCCUGCCUUUGUCCCUGCUCUGUCCUCUAAGGCAGUAGUUCUCAAAUGGGAGGGGGGGGGGAGGAUUGCCUCCCAAGGGCCAUGCGAUGAUUUUCAGACACAGCUUAGGUUGUCACAACUUGCUGGGGGUGGGGUCCUACUGGCUGUAGUGGGUAGAAAUAGGUGUCAUGGACUGAAUGUGUGUGUCUCUCCCAGAUUCAUUGGGAUUAUGGUUGAAACCCUAAAGCCCAAUGUGACAGUGUGAUGGUAUUUGCAGGUAGGGCCUUUGGGAGGUAAUGAGGUCACGAGGGUGGGGCCCUCAUGAUGAGAUUAGUGCUUUAUGAGAAGAGCUGCAGAGAUCUUGCCUCUGCCUUGUGAGGAUAGUAAGUGUAUGUUAACUAUACUGGAAUUUAAAGAAAAAACUCAAUAAUAAUAAUAAUAAUAAUAAUAAUAAUAAAGAUACAGCAAAACAGUGGCCAUGGGCAAGCCAGGAAGAGGACUCUCCUAGAACCCACCCUGCUGGCGCUCUGAUGGCAGACUUCCAGCUUCCAGAACUCUGAGAAAAAUUUCUAUAGCUUGAGCCACCCAGCUGGAGUAUUUUCGUCCUUGCAGCCCGGAGCUAAGACACCAGGGAUACCGCUAAGCAUCCUGUGGUGCACAGAACAGCCUCCCACAACAAAGAAUUACCUAGUGCAAAAUGUUUCAAGUGUUGCUGCUGAGAAAGAAACUCUGCUCUGGGCUGCUUGAACUGUGUUUGCAAUCAGCAAACACCCCCCCCCCCCAACCUCUGCCCCAAGAACCACACCUCUCUGUCUUUAUCCCUGGGGCUGCAGGAGGUGGAAGCUCUUGUCCGACAAAAGUCCCUCCCAGAGCCUUCUCCCAUAUUGGUAUAAAUAAAAUCAGAAGGUCUCUUAACUUGCAGGGGUGAUCACAGGUGGAGGAGGCAUCUGGGUUGAACGGCAGGAAGGGUUAGCUCUGGAGGGAUCUGGAUUAACCCAGGAACUUGUAUUGUUUAUUUAUUCCAUUGAAAUGUACCAGCUGGGAGGGCAUGAGAUUCUUUUUUUUUUUUUAAUUAUUUUUUAAAGAUUUUAUUUGAAUCCAAGCUAGUUAACAUAUAGCGUAGUAAUGGUUUUAGGAGUAGGAUUUAGCGAUUCAUCACUUACAUGUAACACCCAGUGCUCAUCCCAGCAAGUGCCCUCCUUAAUGCCCAUCACCCAUCUAGCCCAUCCCCCCCCACCUCCCCUCCAUCACCCCUCAGUUUGUUCUUUGUAUUUAAGAGUCUCUUACGGUUUGUCUUCCUCUCUGUUUUCAUCUUAUUUUUCCUUCCCUUCCAUUAUGUUCAUCUGUUUUAUUUCUCAAACUCCACAGAUGAGUGAAAUCACACGAUAUUUACCUUUCUCUGACUGACUUAUUUUGCUUAGCAUAAUACACUUUAGUUCCAUCCACAUUGUUGCAAAUGGCAAGAUUUCAUUCUUUUUGAUCACUGAGUAGUAUUCCAUUGUGUAUGUAUACCACAUCUUCUUUAUUCGUUCGUCACUCGAUGGACAUUGCUCUUUCCAUGAUAGUGCUGCUAUCAACAUUGAGGUGCAUGUGCCCCUUCAAAUCACUAUUUUUGUAUCCUUUGGAUAAAUACCUAGUAGUGCAAUUGCUAGGUUGUAUUUCAAUUUUUUUAAAUAAUUUUUCUUUUUUCACGUAUGUAUUUUUAAGUUUAUUUAUUUAUUUAUUUUGAGAGAGAGAGAGAGAGAGAGAGGGAAAGAGCAAGCAGGAGAUGGGCAGAGAGAGAGAGAAUCCCAAGCAGGCUCCACACAGACAGUGAGGAGCCCACUGCAGGGCUUGAACUCAUGAACCAUGAGAUCAUGACCUAAGCCGAAAUCAAGAGUUAGAUGCUUGGGGCGCCUGGGUGGCGCAGUCGGUUGAGUGUCCGACUUCAGCCAGGUCAUGAUCUUGCGCUCCGUGAGGUCGAGCCCCGCGUCAGGCUCUGGGCUGAUGGCUCGGAGCCUGGAGCCUGUUUCCGAUUCUGUGUCUCCCUCUCUCUCUGCCCCUCCCCCGUUUAUGCUCUGUCUCUCUCUGUCCCAAAAAUAAAUGAACGUUGAAAAAAAAAAAAAAGAGUUAGAUGCUUAACUGAAUGAGCCACCCAGGCACCCCUAUUUUUAAUUUUUUGAGGAACCUCCAUAUUGUUUUCCAGAGUGGCUGCACCAGUUUGCAUUCCCACCAACAGUGCAAAAUGGUUCCCUUUUCUCCUCAUCCUCACCAACAUCUGUUAUUUCCGGAGUUGCUUGUUAAUUUUAGCCAUUCUGACAGGUUUCAGGGUGGUAUCUCAUUGUGGUUUUGAUUUGUAUCUCCAGGAUGAUGAGUGAUGUUAAGCAUCUUUUCAUGUGUCUGUUAGCGAUCUGGGUGUCUUUGGAAAAGUGUCUGUUCAUAUCUUUUGCCCAUUUCUUCACUGGAUUAUUUGUUUUUUUGGGUGUUGAGUUUGAUAAGUUCUUUAUAGAUUUUGGAUACUAACCCUUUACUUGAUAUGUCAUUUGCAAAUAUCUUCUCCCAUUCUUCAGACUGUCCUUUAGUUUUGCUGAUGGUUUUCUUCACCAUCAGAAGCUUUUUAUCUUGAUGAGUUCAUUUUUGCUUUUGUUUUCCUUGACUUGGGAGACAUGUCUAAUAAGAAGUUGCUGAGGCUGAGGUCAAAGAGGUUGCUGCUUGUUUUAUCCUCUAGGAUUUUGGUGGUUUCCUGUCUUACUUUUAGGUCUUUCAUCCAUUUUGAGUUUGUUUUUGUGUCUGGUGUAAGAAAGUGGUCCAGUUUUCUGCACGUUGCUGUCCAGUUUUCCCAGAACCAUUUGCUGAAGAGACCGUCUUUUUCCAUUGUAUAUUCUUUCCUGCUUUGUUGAAGAUUAGUUGGCCAUACAUUUGUAGGCCCAUUUCUGGGUUCUCUGUUCUGUUCCAUUGAUCUAUGUGUCUGUGUUUGUGCCAGUACCAUACUGUUUUGAUGAUUACAGCUUGAAUUGUGAUGCCUCCAGCUUUGGUUUUCUUUUUCUUUCUUUUUUUUUUUUUAUUUUUAUUUAUUUUUGAGAGAGAGAGAGUGAGUGAGGGAGACACAGAAUCCAAAGCAGGCUCCAGGCUCCGAGCUGUCAGCACAGAGCCCGACGCAGGGCUCGAACUCAUGAACCGUGAGAUCCUGACCUGAGCCGAAGUCGGAUGCCUAACCGACUGAGCCACCCAGGCGCCCCUGGUUUUCUUUUUUCAACAUUGCUUUGGCUAUUUGGGUGUCUUUUCUGUUUCCAAUCAAAUUUUAGGAUUGCUUGUUCUAGCUCUGUGAAGAAUACUGGUGUUAUUUGGAUAGAGAUUGCACUGAAUAUGUAGAUUGCUUUCGUAGUAUCGACAUUUUAACAGUAUUUGUUCUUCCAAUUCACUGAGCAUGGAAUAUUUUUCCAUUUUCUUGUGUGUCGUCUUCAAUUUCUUUCAUAAGCUUUCUAUAGUUUUCAGUGUAUAGAUUUUUCACCUCUUUGGUUAGGUUUAUUCCAAGGUAUUUUAUGGUUUUUGGCACAACUGUGAAUGGGAUCAAUUCCUUGAUUUCUCCUUCUGCUGCUUCAUUAUUGGUGUAUAGAAAUGCAACCUAUUUCUGUACAUUAAUUUUGUACCCUGUGACUUUGCUGAAUUCAUGGGUCAGUUCCAGCAGUUUUUUUGGUGGAGUCUUUCAGGUUUUCCACGUAUAGUAUCGUGUCGUCUGUGAAGCGUGGAAGUUUGACUUCUUUCUUGCCAGUUUGGAUCUCUUUUAUUUCUUUUUGUUGCCUGAUUGCUGAGGCAGGACUUCCAACACUAUGUUGAACAACAGUGGUGAGAGUGAACAUCCCUGUCGUGUUCCCGACCUUAGGGGAAAAGCCCUCAGUUUUUCCCCAUUGAGGACCCAUAUUAGCUGUGGGUCUUUCAUAGAUCUUGAGGUAUGUUGUCUCUAUCCCUACUUUCUUGAGGGUUUUUAUCAAGAAAGAUGCUGUAUUUUCUCAAAUGUAUUUUCUGCAUCUAUUGAAAAGAUCUGGGCAUAGGAUUCUUGCAAAUAAAGAGAUGAGAGAUGAAGGUUUAUGGGAGGUGAUGAUCUGAAGUCAGCGGUCAUUCACAAAGCUGUUGACCUUGCCCACCUGGGAUGAGCACCCAUUGGACCCUUUAAUCAACACUCAAGCCUCAUCCAGGGGCUGUGUGACAAAGCAUUUGGACAAUUAGCUGAGUUUUGAACCUCUUAACUUUUGUGGUUUUGGUGGCUGGGAACCAGAGUUCUAGUUACAGGAGUUAUUCUUUAAAUUCUAGGAGAUUUUUCCACGUAAUUUUUGGUUCGUGAUCUGGCACUCAUACAUGAGUGAAGCGUGCUUCCUGCUUUCCCUGCGUUGUCCACUUUGUGAACUCAGGCCAUCUCUCGAGCCACCUGCUCUGUGCCUGAUAUCUCUCACCCUCAUGGAGUUACCUCUUGUACCUACACAGCACCUUAAACAGCCCUCGACCAAGCUUUUACUACAGUCUGGUCAUGUGAAUAUAAUCCCAAUGUAAUUAAUGCAGCUAAUGUAAUUAUCCCACAGUGGAAGAUUCUGGAGGGUAGGGACCACAUGUUGUUUACUCAUCUUUGAGCCCUUGACACUGGCACUGUGUCUGACCCAAGAUCAGGCUUCAGGAAGUGUUUGCUGAGCUGAACUGAACUUCAAAAGAGUGAACUGUUUGCGUCCGUUUCACGGUUUAAAAUGGCAAACUUGGGUCACCGAAUGCAUCGUGCACAGAAGGAAGGCACUGCUGCAAGUUUAGCAGGGUGUGUUGGGAAGUCCCUGAGAGUGGCCGUCUCUCUUUUUCAAAGCAAUUACAGCUUCUAACAUGCUUUGCUCAGUAUCAAAAGGCUUGAGUAUUUCAAGAUGCAUUUUUGGAAUGCUGGGCGAGCCGUGGUGGAAACAUCAAGAAGCUAGGGUAUUUCUAGGAUGCGUGUGCUCUCUGGCAUUCUGCAGAUUUUGAAUUGGAGAAUAUGCAUUUUCUUUUAAGGAAAUGCAAUGAUACUAGUUGGAAGGCUAUACUUAAAUGUAUUGAACUAGACUGUGAAGAAGGACCUAGGCUUUGUAUAACCACCAAGUAAACCAGGUCAUUUAAAAAAAUGUUUAUUUAUUUUGAGAGAGAGAGAGAGAGAGAGAGAGAGAACAGGGGAGGGGCAGAGAGAGGGAGAGAGAGAGAGAGAGAGAGAGAGAGAGAGAGAAUCCCAAGCAGGCUCCAUGCUGCCAGCGCAGAGCCCGAUUCAGGGCUUGAACCUACGAACCAUGAGAUCAUGACCUGAGCUGCCACCAAGAGUUGGACGCUCAACCGACUGAGCCACCCUGGUGGCCCGUAAACCAGGUCGUUUAAAAGAGAAACCCGAGGACCGUCAUGAGAAUGCAAAUGAUUCCUAAUGAACAGGCAUGUUGCUUGUAAACUUACUGCUUAUUGUACCGCAUAGUCAAAAUGCUUCCUUACCUUCGUUGUACUGUGAGUGCGCUUAGUAGCCUCUGUUUACAUGAUCACAAAUCCUCAAUCAGGAGAGUGUUUGAAUUAAUACAGUUUUGUUUCAUUCACUGAUCUCACGAGUAUUCACUGAAUGCCUAUUAUGUUCCAGGCACCACGGAUAGCAAUGAACAAACCGAAUCCUUGCCCUCUUGGAACAUUCUAGUGAGGCCAGGCGUGAGGAUGGUUGGCAGAAAAGGAGGAAAUAUCUGCUAUGUAGAGCUGACAGAAACUGCUGAUGGAUUGGAUAUGUGGGGGAGGUGGCGAGAGAGGGAUCAAGGAUGACUCCUAAAUUUUUGGCCUGAACAACUGGCAGAAUGCCCCUGUCAUGUACUGAGCUGGGGGAAGCAGGGAGAAAUGGAUCUGGGAAAGGAAACCCCAAAGUUCAGACAUCGGGGGGGGGGAUGUCAGGGACGCAGAUGGUCGUGCAGAGGUCUGGUGUUCAGGGGAGCACUCUGGGCUGGAGAUACAAAUUGGGGGUCGCAUGGCUUUCUCAGGCUGGCUUAAAAUAACAGAAAUUUUUUGCCUCCCGGUUCUGGAGGCUGGAAGCCCAGAAUCAAAGUGUCGUCCGGGCCACGUGCCCUCGGAAGGUUCUAGGGAGGACUCUUUCCUUGCCUCUUCCUGGCUUCUGGUGGUUGCUGACAAGACUUGGCAUUCCUUGGUUUACAGCUGUACUAUUCCAUUUUUGCCUCUUCACACACAUGGCCAUCUUUCCUCUGUACGUGUCUGUGUCUCUUUGUCCAAAUUGCCCUCUUAGAAGAACCCCAGUUGUUGGAUGAGGGCCCACCCUAAACCAGGAGAGUAUGGGAUCUGGAGCAGUGCCUGGUUCAUGGGGAGAUGUAUUACAGAAACUCCGAGUAGGCAUUCAGCAACUUUUAUAGCCGAAUCCCCCAAGCACAGGUUCAUUCUUGCAGCUCUCCAUCUGUUUUCUCUUUCUCAACAGUAUUGGUCUGUAAUCAAUAGGAAAUAAAACAUUAAAAACCUCCCUCCCUCGCCACAGGUUGAGUAAGAUAGGAGCUGAGACUUCACCUUGGAUUUGGCAAGUGUGGGUGGUCUUGACCAUGGAGGUUUUGUUGGACUGAAGGGGAGGGAGCCCGAAUGGAAGAGGUUCGCCAAGAAUGGCGGGUGUGAGGGGCGCCUGCGUGGCCUUGAUUUUGGCUCAGGUCAGGAUCUCACAGUUCGUAAGAUGGAGCCCUGCUUCAGGCUGUGCACUGACAGCACGGAGCCUGCUUGGGAUUCUCUCUCUCCCCCUCUCUCUGUCCCUCCCCUGCUCUCUCUCUUUCUCUCUCAAAAAUAAAUAAAUAAACAUAAAAAUAAGAGAAUAGCAGGUGUGAAAGGAUUUGGUGAGUACGGAUAGAACUUUGCUCUGGAGCGCAGCGAAUCGGGUUGGCAGGAGGAGGGCAAAGUGGGAUCAAGGGAGAUAUUUCUUAUUCUUUUUUUUUUUUUUUUAAAUUUUUUUUUCAACGUUUAUUUAUUUUUGGGACAGAGAGAGACAGAGCAUGAACGGGGAAGGGGCAGAGAGAGAGGGAGACACAGAGUCGGAAACAGGCUCCAGGCUCUGAGCCAUCAGCCCAGAGCCCGACGCGGGGCUCGAACUCACGGACCACGAGAUCGUGACCUGGCUGAAGUCGGACGCUCAACCGACUGCGCCACCCAGGUGCCCCGAUAUUUCUUAUUCUUUAAGAUGAGGGAUCUCAGACCUCGUCUGCAUGCUCAGCAGAAGGGAGAGGGGGAUGAGGCAGAAGAGAGGGUGGUCAGGACUGGAGCCCGUAGGCUGGUGAGAGGAGAUGGCAUCCGGUGUCUCCUGGAGGGUGGGCUUCUGAUCGGAAGGAGCAGGGGGAGCACAUCUGGAUUUGGAGCGACUUCCCCAGUUUUAGCUGAAAGUCCCCUGUCCUGGGAAAGCUUUAAAACAGAAAGUUCCAUGUCCCAGGGCCACUCCCCUCUCCCGGUCCCAGGCAAACCAGGUCAGGUUUGAAGGGAGAGUUGGAUGCUGGGAGGCCAAGGGGCUUGUUGGAGGGAAGAUGAGGUAGUCUUUAAUCGUUGGCUUCUAUUUUCUGGGUGACAUAAGGGCUGAGAUCAUGAACUGAGAGCAAAGACAGGGAGGGAGGCUGGAAGGGAGAGGAAAAGUUGUAGGACAGCCAUCUUGGGAGGGGGGAAAGGGAGCUCGCUAAGAAAUAGAGUAGCAUUUCUGGGCAGUGCUGGGUGGCAACUUGUGAUCUGUGGUCACACACGUCACGUGAUAGCAGGCAGAGCGGCAGUGGGGUGUAUACACUGCAAAACUCCAAAUGGCUAACGUUCUGUCACAAGCGAUUUGUUGGAACACAGGACGCUAAUUGCGUUAUCCUGGAACAUGGUGGAAAGCGGUACGUCAGCAGAAACACGUUCCUGGUCUGUAGGACUUCCAGAUGAAAACAGAGCCGCAGCCAACUCUCCGGAGAGUAGAUUAGCAACACUUUCACUCAGACCUUUGAUUUCUUCCCAUAGGGGCUGUUCAUAAUUGUCGUGCAGACCCGGUCACAUUGUCCACACCCUUUGUAAGCACGGCACCCUUCCUCUCCUCUCCUGCCGAAACACCCCAGUGGCUUGCUCAUACCAGAUGCUUCUUUGCAAUUUGCCAUUACGAUGAUUUGCAGAAGCAACAGCUUAACACGAACGGAAAUCAAAAGUUACUGCCCGGCGUGAUUUCACCGAUCUUCGUGUUAAAGGAGUCCGGCCGGAUUGCCGGUUUUGGUUUGUUCUGUCUCUUCUUUUCAACGUUUAUUUAUUUUUGGGACAGAGAGAGACAGAGCAUGAACGGGGGAGGGGCAGAGAGAGAGGGAGACACAGAGUCGGAAACAGGCUCCAGGCUCUGAGCCAUCAGCCCAGAGCCCGACGCGGGGCUCGAACUCCCGGACCGCGAGAUCGUGACCUGGCUGAAGUCGGACGCUUAACCGACUGCGCCACCCAGGCGCCCCUGUUCUGUCUCUUCUUUUGGCGGAUUUUAGGCAUUUAAUCAACGUGGGUAAUUCAGAAAGUAGCAAAGCAUAAGGAUUUGGAGUUACAACGCCUGGAUUUGAGUUAUCCACGUACUGGAUUUUGGGCAGGUGACCUUGUGAAGCUCCUCUAACCUGCCAGCCUCAGGUUCGUCAUAAAAAUGUGGCGAAACCUACCUGCGCCAGCUGCUUCAUAAACUCUGUAAAGGAAAGUGUCGUGUGUCACGCAUAGGUUGGCUAUUGCUCUGAUUGUUUGCGGUGUGGUUCUGUGCCUUUCUUUGGUAGAUUUCAAUUCUGCAGCUUUAAUAAUAGGGACAGAGAAAACUGCCGAGCCCCUGGGCGUGGUGGCUAAGCUCCUGAUGACCGUCAGGAAGGAGGCGCUGGACUAGGGACCAGGGAUGAAGUGAGUGUAGAGUAGGGGUGGAGGGAGUGAGGCACGGGUGUGGGGUGGGGAUUGUGGCAAGAGGGAAACUUCUGGUUGUAAGAUACUGGGCGUGGAGUCCUUCCAGGCGUCGGUAAGCCCUAGGGGCCGCCUUAAAAUGGGAUUAUAGAAAUAAUGUCCCGGGUCCUCUGGUUCAGAAUGCAGGCUACGAUGAGGCCGGUUCGCAAAGACUUGUAUUUAAAAGUUUACAUGUCUGUCACUUAAAGUUUUCGCCUUCAGCUAUUCAGGAAAUUCUACUCUAUAAAGUGACUCAUUCAUUCCCUAAGGAUUCUGCACAGCCAGGGUUUUACUGGGUCAACCGCAGAGACAUCAAUUCCUGGAAGAUUGUUUCCAUUUUGUCAUGGACCAUAACUUGGAGGUAAUAUUUUUGAACACCCAAUUACGGAGAACUCGAAAUACUUUUUAGAAAUUAGCUCUUAAAUCCUUGGGUGCUGUCUCCUAUGACUAUGACAAGUAGAAAUGCUUUAUCAUCUCUAGAUUUGUUACUUUUUAUUUAAAAAUUAAAAAAAAUUUUUUUAAAUGUUUAUUUUUGAGAGAGAGAGAGAGAGGCAGAGUGUGAGCGGCGGAGGGGCAGAGAGAGAGAGAGACAGAAUCCAAAGCAGGCUCCAGGCUCUGAGCUGUCAGCACAGUGCCUGACACAGGGCUUGAACUCACAAGCUGUGAGAUCAUGACCUGAGCCGAAAUUAGAUGCUUAACCAACUGAACCACCCAGGUGCCCCUAAAAAUUUUUUUAAUGUUUAUUUAUUUAUUUUGAGAGAGAAAUAGAGAAAGAGAGUGAGCAUGAGCAGGGGAGGGGCAGAGAGAGAGAGAGAGAGAGAGAGAGAGAGAGAGAGAGGAAGAGAGAGAGAGAACCUCAAGCAGGCUCCGGACUCUGCUAUGUGCCUGAUGUGGGAUUCAAACUCACAAACCAUGAGAUCAUGACCUGAGCCAAAAUCGAGAGUCAGAUGCUUAAUCAACUGAGCCAGCCAGCCCCUAAAUUAGUUACUUUUAAUGUGCUUACAAAAGCAAGUUCACGUCCAAUUCUACCACCAUACAGACACCUCCCCUCCAGGAAAUCCAACUUACCUCCAGCUACCGAGGGGGUCCUUUGGUCUUCUUUCUUUGAUCUCAGCCUCUGUCUUCAAAAUCCCAUUAUUUUCAUCUCUCUGCUUUCCCAAGCUCAGGGCUUGGUCUCCUGCUCCUCUCUCACCAGCUACUAAAGAACUUUUUUCCCCUCUUUAAUUUUAUUUAUUUCCCCUCUUUAAUUUUAUCUAUCUAUCUAUCUAUCUAUCUAUCUAUCUAUUUUUAAAGUAAACUCUACCCCGGACAUGGGGCUCGAACUCAUAACCCAAAGAUCAAGAGUCACACACUCCACCAACCGAGCCAGCCAGAUGCACCCCUCCUUUAAUCUUUUUAAAAAGAUACCACAAAAAGCAAAUUCUUACGUUAUUUCAAAUAACUCAAAACCGUCUAUAGGUGUUUUUUGUUUGUUUGUUUUUUUGUUUCGUUUUGUUUUCUUCUGAGAGAGAAAUAGAGAACAAGAGGAGGAGGGGCAGAGAGAGGGAGAGACAAUCCCAAGCAGGCUCCAUGCUUUCAGUGCAGAGACGGAUGCAGGGCUCGAAUUCACAAACUGUGAGAUCGUGACCCGAGUCGAAGCCGAGAGUUGAACGCUUCAUCGACUGAGCCACCCAGAGCCCCAAAUAACUCAAAACUGCGUAACAUGAAAAGUAAAAGUCACCCCCACUGCUUUUCCAGAGUGGCCCCUACCCUCUCUGGGGAAACUCCCCAGGCUGAAGGCUUCGGGACUGUGUCCGUGGAUCCAGGGCUCCAAUUCUAGCCCUGGGAGCGCUGGUCCCUCCUUUCUGUUGGACAUUGUCAUGAGGGUCUCUCCUUUCAGACACAGCACAUCUUCAGAUUUGUUGGCGGGACCCCCUGUGGAUAGGAUUUAAGUGACCUGCAAGAGAGUUUUCCUGUGUGUAGCCCUGGGAAAUAUAUUUGAGCUCUGUGUUCCUCAGUUUCCUCAUCUGUAACUUGGGGAGUUAGGACACCAUGGGCCUCAAGCACUCUUUCCUCUAACUCAUCUCUGGGUCUAGCCUCCUCUUCCUCAAUUCAUAUUUCUUGUUUCUUUUCCUGCUGUUCUCUUUUUUUUUGUCCAGCAGAAGCACUGGUGUCGAGGUGCAGACAUCAAGACAUCAGAGAGCUAGGGUCACCUUUGGGCUGGCUAGCUGUGUGACCCUGGCAAUCAUGUGGCCUGUCUGGACCUGUUUUUUCAUGCAAGAAAUGAAGGACCAGGACUCUUUGAUCUCCAGGAGACUUUCCGGUUCUGACACCCCAUGAUUCUCCUGACCUCCUCCUACCUAGGGGUGACCCCUCUGAUCGUAAGGGAACCGUGAGCUCUGGGCAUUUGCUGCUUUCAGCACAGGGUGGUGAUAGUAAGUUUGGGGCAGGGGACAAACCAGGGAAGCUGGACCCUUCUCUAGAGUCCCUGAGUCAGCUCCUCAUGGUCUGACUUCAUUUUCUCAUUUGGAGUGUUGUGAAAUCCCAGAACAUCACCCACGCCCACUCUCAACCCUGAGUACAUUUGGGGCGCAUUCCAACACCAAGUAAGAGCCAUUUGGAGAUGAGCUUGGAAACCCCUGCUCCUUGUCCUUGUGUGUGACUUUGAAGGGGGGCUGGAAUGACUAGCCAUCCCGGCUUGCCCUGGACUGUCCCGCGUCCCAGGAACCCCCACAGGGCACACCGGGGACAGUCGGUUCCCCUACUGCUCUGCCCUGUCAGGGUCUGGCUCACUUCCUGAGCGGGGUAAGUAAAGGACCCAGCGGGGCAGGGAGACUCAGAAUCAGCCGGAACGCUUGGUGGAUGCAGAUUCCUGGGCCCCACUCUGGAGAGCCUCAUCCGGUAGAUCUGGGGCGGGGAACUGGGAAUUCGCAUUUAAAGGCUUCCAGGUGAUCUGGUGCAGGUGGGUCAGUACCGCACCUUGGGACACACACUGUGCUUGGGGUAAUGCGGGGAACAGGGUUGGCUCCUGCCCUCAUGUUGCUUGUAACAUGGGCAGAAGCCCCAGCAGGGAACUCGGCUCACGUGUGGUAGAAUAUAAUGGACACUGUAACAUGAGUAGCACGAGGACCAAGAUUCUUAUUCCUCCUCCCACCCUCCCAAGUAAUCCAGUGCUUACAAAGCUCGGCUUUGUUCAUUAAGAGGGUUGACUUGGCAUUUUUCGGCAGGGGGCCCGCAGGGAGUUUGAGUGAGUUGCCAGAGAUGACCGUUCCCUGCAGUUGAUGGCAGACUCUCCCGUCCCAGAACUACCCCUGCUCUGUCCGCUGCACCGCGUGACCCUCUGGCGAAAGCGCGAGGGGACCGCCUCUAAAGGGGACCAUCUCCACGGCCCACUGUGGCCCUGACCUUCCGGCAUGGAGGGCGGGUGAGGAAAAGCAGCCCCGUUCUUGUUCUUGGUAGGACAGCUGUCAUUUCUGUUGCUUACGAGCUGCCCCUUUUUCUAAGGUGAAUUGAUGAGCUAGAGUCCCCAAGGGCACUUAGUCAUGGGGAUGAUUUGAAGAGGACCCAAGAUGGCCUGGCCUGGAAAGGGCACGCUUAUUCUCUGGGUUCUGGUGGGUUCCCUCAGUCCCUGCUGCCACAGAACAAAAUGGCGGAGGCGUCCCUCAGAGGGAAGAGGAGCAGAGCGACAGCUCCACAGGCCUUCAGAUGAGGGACACGAGGUUCUUGGGGUCUUGGAAGGACAUGCCACCGCUGGGGCUCCAGGAAGGCCAGCGUCCACGGCAGCCUGGAGCUGUGGGGCCGAGUGUCACCACUGGCCAUGCUGACUCAUCGAGCUGGUCUGGGAGCUGGGCUGAGGGCGGCUGUCUUAGUCUGGGCGGCUAUGAGAGGAUAGUAUGGACUGGGUAGCUUAUUAGCCACAGAAAUGUAUUCUUUGUAGCUGUGGAAGCCUGAGGUCAGGGCGCCAGCACAGUUGGGUUCUGGCGAGAGCCCUCUUCUGGGUUGUAGCCUGCCCACUUCUCCCUGUGCCCUCACGCAUUGGAAAAAGGUGAGGGAAUUCUCGGAGGUCCCUUACAUAAGAGCGCUAAUUCCGUCACAAGGAUCCCACCCUCAUUACUAAUCACUUCCCAAAGGCCCCGCCUCCUAAUAUCAUCAUGCUGUGGUGGGGGGCAGGUAGGGUUUCAACAGAUGAAUUUGGGCGGGGGGGGGGGACACAAACAUUCAGUCCGUUGCAGCAUUCCUCCAGGGGCUGGUGGCCUGGGCAUCCCUAGUUGUGGGGUGUGAUGGCUGUGAGCGCCAGCUCUGGAGUCGCCCUCCUUGGGUUGAAUCCCAUAUCAGUCCGUCACUUAUCAGCUGGGAUGACCUUGGGGAAGUCAUUGACCUCUUUGGGGGGCAGUUUUCCUAUUUGUAAAAUGCAGUAAGGUUCCCUGUGCUGUUGAGAGGCUGGAAUGAGAGAAGCCUGCAAACGGCUUAGCGCAGUGCCUGACGCACAAUAAAAGCUAAGCUUUCUUGUAAUUAGUGACAGAAAGUGGCAAAGACCCGGAAUGAGGUCUGUUUUCAUUUGCUCAGGUUCCCAUAACCAAAUACCAUAGGUUGUAUGGUUUAAACAACAGAAAAUUAUCGUCUCACAGUUCUGGAGGCUGGAGGCCCAAGAUGUUGGUGUCGGCAGGUCUGAGUGCUUCUGAGCUCUCUUUCUUUGGCUCACCGAUGGCCGCCUUCCCGCCCCGUCCUCACACGGUCUUUCCUCCGUGCAUGUUCGUCCUUUGUGUCUCUUUGUGGGCGCAAGUUUCCUCCUCUUACGAAGACACGGGUCAGGCUGGAUUAGGGCCCACCCUAAUGGGCUUAUUGUAACUUAAUCACCUCUUUAAAGGCCUUGUCUCCAAAUAGAGUCACAUUUUGAGGUGAUGGGGAUUAGGGCUUCAACAUACAGAUUUAGGGACACAGUUCAGCCCAUAACAAGGGCCAGUCUCAGGGCCAGGAUAUCUGAGGGUCAGACACAAAAGGCCCCCUCUAGGGAGCCAGACGUGAGAGUGAGGCCCAAGCUUGUCUGGGGGCCCGCGCUGUGGUCGCCCAGACAACCCAUCCUAUCGGGCCAUGCUGCUAAGUGCAGCGUAUUUAGGCUUAUGGUGGAUGGCUGGGUUUGCCUGGGCUCCAGCCUGGCAGGUGUGGUUGAGGUCAGCUCCAUGGGUGGAGUGAGGAGGUGAGUGUGGGGAUAUGGAAGGGAGAGCAGACAGUGGCUCUCGAAGAAACAGGAAGAUCACAUCCUUGGGAAUUGGGAGACAAAACAAAGCCAAGGUUGGGGGCCCUGGGCCCCCGGCCCAGCUCUUUAGGGUCCAUAAGACUCUUGCUUGCUUUCAGUGGGGUCAGGAAACCCUUUUUUUUUUUUUUUUAAUUUUUUUUUUUUCAACGUUUAUUUAUUUUUGGGACAGAGAGAGACAGAGCAUGAACGGGGGAGGGGCAGAGAGAGAGGGAGACACAGAAUCGGAAACAGGCUCCAGGCUCUGAGCCAUCAGCCCAGAGCCCGACGCGGGGCUCGAACUCCCGGACCGCGAGAUCGUGACCUGGCUGAAGUCGGACGCUUAACCGACUGCGCCACCCAGGCGCCCCCAGGAAACCCUUUUAAUGAAGCCAAUGUGAUAAGUGCUCCAGUGUAGGCAUCCAUGCAUUUUCUUCUGAAGUGCAAAUUCGAGCUUCAGCAGAGAACCAGGUGUAGGUCUUCAACUUCUCGGAGCCUUUUUAAGGACAGGCCUGGAGCCCAGCAUGCGGGCAGGUGUCAGUCCACUAAAUUUCAACCCCAGGAUGAGCUUGUGAGGGUCACUUGUCAAGCCCCCACCUCUCCCCUCCCAUAUUUCUCUGCCACAAGGGUUCCCCCCCCCCCCCCCCGAGCUAUUUUGUGGACAUCCCCGUCAUCCUGGCAGAUCUGUCCCUGUGGAUCACGAAAGCCCGGAUUCCUGGACUCAGCAUCCCUUUGCCUGCCAUCGGGCUUUGAUUUUGGCCAGAGGCGCCCCCCCCCCUCCGCCCCCAGGAUGGAGCAGCGUGUUGCUGGAGCGAGGGUGGGCAGUUCCUGCUGUCACGACCAACAUCCCAGCUCCCUCACCUUGAUCUUGAGGCUGCUUUGGUUUCAGCCUCUUACGUCCUGUAUUAUUUAAAUGGCUUGGGUUUUGAUAGUCUCUCUGCUCAUAGUCGUCCUGAGCGGGCUGGAGGUUGAACAUGGCAUUCUUUCCAAACAUUUGGCUGCCUCGGAACUGACUUAGAGUUUCUGACCGUGCGCACGGCAGAGGGUAUUUGGAUGCAGUCUUCCUACAGAGAUGUGUUCCUGGGGCAGAGCUCCUGAAUCCAGUCUGGAAUUCAGACUGUAUCGCCUACUUAAAGGGUCUUCUCAAGCCACCCCCUCCUCUGGGGGAGCAGAGACACCCUGGAACACCAGCCUGUAACCUUCUUGGAAGGCAGCGGUGCGAUGCCACGUGCAAGUCCUGGGUUCGAAUCCCGGCUCUGCCGUUGAUGAGCGGGGUCUCCUGGGGUGUUUCUGAGUCUGUUUCUUUGUUCCUGACACACAUUAUGUGCUCAGAAAUCAUGGCUGAUUUUAUUUUUAUUAUUGUUAUCACCCGUUCAACGUCCUCAGCCCAAAUGGCAUUGAAUAUAGCGGUUUUCCCUGGAAGGAGGAUAAGUAACUGCCCUGGGGCCACGCUGGUCAUCAGGGAAGCUGAGUGACGAGCUGGACAGGAGCGAUAACAGCCAGCUCUGAGGCAUCACUUGAUGAAAGAGCGAUCUGAACCGUGGGAGAAAGUGGAGACAGGUGUAAUAUAUCUUAAGCACUCCUUCUGACAUGUCAGGAUAACGCUGUUCGCUCUUCUGGAUGCAGUACCUAGAUAUGGAUGGGGUUUGGAGACGGGAUGCUCCUGGGACAUCUGACUUUGUUUUGGGUCACUGACGGGCCUAGGGUUUUCCUACUAUUCUUGCAAAAUUUGCUGAAACCCCUUUUACGACUUCACACGUCCCAUCAUGUGAGCCCUGGGGAGAGCUCAGACUCCGGGGAUGGGGGUGGUCCAAGUCACCUGCUGUCUUUGAUCUCUGUCACCCCUCAGCGUGGGAAGUCUUAGGUGGAGGUCAAAUAGCACCACGGCAGGGACCGACUGUGAAGGCACUGGUGACCGCUCUGACACUGCCUGCCUGCCUUCCCCACCCUCCAAAUAAAAGCAGCUGGUAGGAAACGACAGGAAUCCAGCCGACCUCCCCAAUCCACCAUCACGUGGGAUCGGAGCCCCCUCUGGAACAGGCAUGGUAGGCAGAAGUGCAGGCUCCAAGGCGGGUUGCUUCCAAAUCCGGCUCCCCACCUUACAAGCCAUUCUUAAUUAAUCUCUGUUUCCCCCUCGCUAGAAAGGGGGACAAUAAAACCAUGCACAUCAUAGCACUGUCACACGGAUAAGAUGAGAGUAGAGGGGCGCCUGGGUGGCUCAGUUGGUUAAGCAUCUGACUUCGGCUCAGGUCACGAUCUCACAGUUCCUGAGUCCUAGCCCCACGUCAGGCUCUGUGCUGACAGCGUGGAGCCUACUUGGGAUCCUCUCUCUGUCUCUGCCUCUCCCCAUCUUGCGUGUGCAUGCACACUUUCUCUCUCUCUCAAAAUAAAUCAAUAUACUUAAAAAAAGAGAGAUGAGAUUAUAAAUGUGAAAUACUGGGCAAGUAGGAAGAAAUGUUAUCUGUUACUGUUCUCACUCUCUUUGGGGUGGGAUUUGCGAUCUGCCCACAGCUAUCCUAUGAGGUGAUGAUGAUUAUUAUUUUUGAGACUAAAGGCUUUUAGUCUUCUAGAGAGCCUUAUUUUUUUUAAGUUUAUUUAUUUUGAGAGAGAGAGAGAGAGCUCAAGUUGUGAGGGGGGAACAGAGAGAGAGAGAGAGAGAGAGAGGGAGAGAGAGAAUCCCAAGCAGGCUCUGCACCUGUUAGUACAGACCCUGACUUGGGGCUCGAACUCAGGAACCUCGAGAUCAUGACCUGAGCUGAAGUUAGAUGCUUAACUGACUGAACCACCCAAGUGCCCCUAGAGCCUUAUUUUUUUUUUUUUAAGAUUUUAUUUCUAAGUAAGCUCUACACCCAACGUGGGGCUGGAACUCACAACCCUGAGAUCAAAAGCUGUACAGUCCCCCAACUGAGCCAGCCAGGCAUCCCCUAGAGAGUCUUAUAAAUAAGCAACUGUUCUAAGCCAUCUAGCAACUGUGCUGCCAGGUGGCUGGCUGGGCAAGGACCUGGGGUGGGCCCAGGGUGAGGGUCUGGGGCUGUGGAGGGCCCUGGAAGAGACAGUGGACCAGAGAACAACCUUUCUCUGACCCGACAUGUUGCCCUGGGCUGUGUUCCCCAAACCACGCAAGUUAUUUAAACCGAAGUCUCGCCCCCAGGAUUGUCUCGCCUCCAGGAUUGUUCUGAGUUUCGGGGGAGGAGAGAUGGGUUGAGACCCGUCCUUAGAACACGGAGGUGGUAGCGCUGGCCCACAGCUAGAAGGGCUGGCUGAGAUGUUGGCUCUUCCUGGAAUCCCGAACUGACCUCUCCACCAACCUUCCCCAUGACUGAUUUUUGGAAAUGUGAUGAGCUUUUGAUAUUUACUUCAGUCACUGUCGCCGGGUGGCCGCUGCUGCGCUAAGCACCCGGAACGCAAAUAGGGGAGAGGUGUCCCAGUCUGUAAGUCCAGUGAGCCUAGCUAGGGCUGGCUGGCGGUUCUGGGCCUCUCUGCUGACAACUUCCGGUCUCCUCCCUGGUGGACAAGGGCGAGGAGGGUGCUCUGCUCGUGCGGACGGCAAGGCGCGCGAGGCGUAACAACGUGGUGCCUUCAGGAAAUGGGUGGCCCCAGAUGGGAGGAGUGGGUGGCGUGGGUGGGCCAGGGAGUCCUAAUCUUUGGGGAGGUGGGAGCCACUGGAGGUGCUAAUACGGGGAAAUGACAGGAGCUGGCUUUUGGUUUUCUUAUAAUUACAACAGCCAUCACAACGAUCGGUAUUGAGCACUGUCUUGGGAUGGGCAUCAACUAAGUGCUUUGCCAAAUUCUCUCGUUUAAGCCCCCUUUGCAGACGAGGCUGGGAGGGUCCACAAAGCCCAGUCACGUAGCAGCAGACAAACCCAGGUCUGUCCAACACCAAAGGCCUUGCUAUUAACUGCUCCUCAACCUUCCUGAACCUCAGAGUCCUCCUCUAUAAUACCUCCCUCACAGGGUUGUCUUCGUAACUUGGGGAGGAUGGUUGGCACUUGCCACAGUGCCUGGCAUGUUGUAAGUGCUCAGUAAAUGUUGGUCACUCUUGUUUUUGUUAUUGUUGUUAUUAUCUGUUGCAGAGAGUGGCCGCGGGCAUGCCAGGUGCUGGGUGGUACCUUUGAGUUGGAAACCACAUGGGCUGGCGUGAGUAAACUGAGCUAAUAAAGCCACUCCUUCCAGAGCAGGGUGCUGACCGGGGUUCAAGGCCGCAGUCUGCCUGCACCCACCCCCGUUGCUGUGGUUACCGACCUGGGCAUCUCGUUCUCUCUGUCGCGGGUGCCUCUCCAGCUCAGGUCCGGGUGACCCUGUUCCCACCCGGGAUCGUUCCACGACUGCUUCUCUGAGGCUUUCUGCUACACCCUCUGGUUUCAGUUUUGCUACAGCUGAGCAGGGACCGACCCCACGGGUGGCAGAAUGGUGGAUGCAUGGGAGGGACCACCGUCCAGGGGGCUGGUGAAAAUCUCCAGGGGAGAUGAGGUGAAGGCCAGAAGGCCACAGCCAUGGGAAUGGAAGGCAGUUGGGGAAUAUUUUGGGUUUCAACUGAUAAGAUGAUGAGGAGAAGACAAAGGGAGAUGGAAAGAUAAAGGCUGUCUCUCACUUAAAUGGCCAUUGUAUUCCCUUUUCACGCUGUGCUGGGUGGAUCUCAUCCAUCCCCGUGGCUUUACAUGCGUUUCUAGGCUGACAAUCUCCAAAUUCCCAAUUCCCUGAGUUCCAGCCUGGAGUACUUAGAUGUCUCUUGCUCUCUUCACUUGGGUGGCUCUCAGGCAUUUCAAACACAACAUCUCCAAAACAGAACUCCAAAAACGAUCUGCCUGCCUCACCCGCGAACCUGCUUCCCAUCUCCCUCAAUGGUACGACUCUCCCCUGUGUUCAAGCUAGAAAAUAUGGGGAUCAUCCUUGGUGUCUCCCCCUUUCUUCACCCCUCGGAGCCCCCUCAGCAGCUAGUCCCAUAAUUUCUACCUGGGGGAUACAUCACAAGGGAAGCACAUCCCCUCUCUCCAUCUGCACUGCCGCCAUCUUGGGCCAGGCCACCCCCAUCUCUCAACGGGGUGACUGUGAGUCCACACUGCCUCCCCUCUUCCACUCUGGCUCCAAAUUCCAGCCUCAGUGAUCUUUAAGGAACACAAAUUCCAUGGUUAAUCAUCUUACCUGAUGACUUCCAACUGCACUUAGCAGAACAGCCAGCACCUUCCCAAGGCUUACUGGGUUCUGCAAGGAUCUCAGCUUCAUUGGACUCCCCUCCCCUUCACUCACUUCUCUAUCUCUCUCUCUCUUUUUAAGUUUAUUUAUUGAGAGAGAGAGAGAGAGAGAGAGAGAGAGAGAGAGAAUCCCAAACAGGCUCUGAGCUGUCAGCGUGGAGCCUGAUACAGGGCUCAAAGUCACAAACCAUGAGAUCAUGACCUGAGCCGAAAUCAAGAGUCAGGCACUCAACCGACUGAGCCGCCCAGGCACCCCCAUAACUUAUAACUUUCUAUUUGUUCAUUGUGUUUAUUGGUUGUGUCCGCUGCUAGAGUGUCAAAUCUAGGAGGCCAGCCAAGCACAUAGAAGUUGCCAGUGGGUAUUUGUGGAGUUAGUGAACAGGUAGAUGAAGAGGGCACACCCACCCAGGAGCAUGGCCCUCCAUGGAUAUGGAGGACAGGGACAUUCAAGGGGUGGGCAGAGGGCCUGCCAAGGAGUCAAGGAGACUUGAGAAUGAGAGCCAGGAGGGAAAUGCCAAUAACCAAGAAAAGAGUGACAACUCGGCUGGGGAUCCUUUUGGCCGCAGGUAACGGCAAACGUGUCCAGUGGUAUAGACACAGAUGAACUUUUUCAUAGUCGGAACGUUCAGCGGCCAAGCUCUGGGCCGGUGUUGCUGAGGUGUUCCUGGCCUUCCGUCAGCCUCCAGCAUCACAUCCUCACACAACUGAGUUCAAAGACAGGAAACAAGGAGCAGCAUGGGACAGACAUCUUCUGUCUUAUUGUUGUACAUGUCUCUCUCUUACUGGUGGGGGUGGCGGAGGGGCUGUCCCCAGAAGAUCCCAACCGACGUCCCUCUAUAUUCCACUGGUCAGAAAGGAUGCAUGCCUGCCUGCCCUUGGACCAGGGCCGGUGCCCAUCUUGCUGAAAUAAAAGAACCUCUUUCCUGUCCUUGAACAAAGUUGGGCUCGUGCCAGCUAAGGAGAAGGGGAAUGGCUUUUGAGAAAACAAUGCAAAGUGCUUGCCCUAAGCACAUUUCACAAGGAGGAGUUUUUUCUGUUGGUGUAACUGACGUAGGGAGGUCAGAUAGGAUGGGUAUUGAGCAGUGGCUGCUGGAGUUGAUGCUUAAAGACUAUGUGUGGCCCUUGAGAGAGCAACUCCCACUGGUUUGGGCUGCCCUCUGUGGGGGCUUAGGAAUUAGCGGGAGAAGUUGCGGAGAGCAAGGUAGACCACCAGGAAGUUUGGUGUUAAAGGUAAGAGGAAGGAUGGGAUGGUCUCUGGCCACAGGAGGCAGACACAAGGAGGUUUUUCCAGUUUGGGGCAAACUUGAAGAUGUUUAUUAGAUGAGCCAAGGAAGCCAGUGGGAGAGAGGGGGAAGCAAGAUGGCGUAGUUGAUGCCCUUGUCCCCGAAAGAGGCACAGGGAUGGGGUCAAGUGCACAAGAGGCGGUGGCUGUUACUGGGCAGAGCAGAGAGGCUUUUCUGGAGACUCAGAUGCCUUCUGAGAUGGGAGAAGGGUGGCAGGAUGGUGAAGAUGCCCAGGAGGGAUGAAGAUUCCCUUCACUCUCCUUUGUGGGACAAUGGGUUCAUUCAGAGAGUGAACCUGUGAACUUGACCUUUCCAGCACUUUUGUUUUAACAAUCGGAUAUAACAGACUAAACAAAAACAAAAACAACCUCCACCCCCAAAACCCAAUCCAUUUGUGUGGUCCUCCACUGGGAAGUCCAAGGACAAAGCCUGAUCCUUGGGUUUUCUUGUUCAGACAGCCUCACAGCACACGGUCAGGGGAGUGGUCAUUCCAUCAUGCCGUCCAGAGACUGCAGGUCACUUAACAGACCACGAGGAGCUUCCAGAUCCUGCAGCCGAUGGGCAGCAGGGUGGAGGGGGUGGGGCACACGGAGUAGGGCACAGAGGACUUGGGUCCCAGGUCCAGGUGUACCACUUACAAGCUGGGGUUCACUCGUGUCCUCCAAGCCUGCAACCCCAUAUCUGCAGAGGGUUGGAGGGUGACAGCUCGUCUUCUCCCUCCUCUGCCCGCAGGUUUACAACGCGCAUGCUCCUUACAGGGAAUUAGGGGAAUGCCUUCCUGCCCCCUCCACCAGCCCUCGCUGGGGAGUUUUGACUCUGCUCAGUCCCCGUUGGAACAGGACGGUGUUUUCUUUCACCACUCACCCUGGUCCCUCACUGCUGGCAUCUUUUCCCCUUUGUUUUUGGGAAUGAUGGCAGAGGGCCCAGCUAGGACGAUUGAGAGCCAAACCUUUCUCCUCUAUUUAUCCUCAUGGUAGCCAUGGAGGCAGCAAAAAGCAAGCAGAAGUUUGACUAGAUAUAUGAGCUCAAUAUUCCACAACAUUUGAAGCUGGUGCCUACUUACGUAGGAGGCAUAAAACACAACAGUAUGUUAAAAUGAAGAGUAGCCCCAACAGGGGGGAGGAAAAAAAGUGCAUUUAAAAAAAAAAAAAUUUUUUUUUUCAACGUUUAUUUAUUUUUGGGACAGAGAGAGACAGAGCAUGAACGGGGGAGGGGCAGAGAGAGAGGGAGACACAGAAUCGGAAACAGGCUCCAGGCUCUGAGCCAUCAGCCCAGAGCCCGACGCGGGGCUCGAACCCACGGACCGCGAGAUCGUGACCUGGCUGAAGUCGGACGCUUAACCGACUGCGCCACCCAGGCGCCCCAAAAAAGUGCAUUUUUAAGAAAAAAUUCUCAGCGGGAACAUUCAGAUGCUAAGUUGGUAAGAUUGACAUUGGCUCUGCAUGUCUCCCCUUCGACAGCGCGUUAGUGUCCGUCCCCAUGGUGUCCUGUGUCUCGGGGUGCAAGUUCUGAAGGGGACACAUCUUCUCUCGGGUCACUCUUUUUAUCUGACACGUGGGGGUGACUCCAGGAGGGCUCUGCGCAUGUCUCAUGGUGUCAUAGGGGAGGCUGAUGUUCGUAAGAAGCGCGGAGCGGGAUCAUUUUAGUCCCGUCAAAACUGCCCCAGUCAGAUCAGUCCUGCCCGGCGCUCGGUCGCCUGGACCCCCCUUCGUCACGACUAAAAUGUGACUAGCGGUAGCGUCUCCCUCGUGGGGUGGCUGUGGGGGUUCCAUGAGUCUACACCUGUGAAACGUCUAGGAAAGCACCCAGAGGGUAUUGGUUAGUCAACCGACAAACACAGAGUGCCCGUAGCUUGUCGGCUGUGCCUCGUGGGAAGGAAGCCCCAGAGGGCGGCUCUGUGUCUAGGAAUCAGCAUCUAGCUGGAGAAAGAACACGGACCUGGUGGGGAUCAGUAGACAACCAGCGCAGCCUCCAAGCCCUGCCUUUCCCCGCGGCCUGGACGUCCUGGAGGGCCAGCAACUGCUGGGUGGGGUGUGCUGUCGGCCCAGCCCUGCUUACUCUCCUGGCAGCCAAAGCCAGGAGAAAGGAGAAUCUGGUAUUCAUUGUGUGGUUGUUUCUAAUUUCCUUCUGCUUUCGAGAUCCUCUUCUGACGGAGAACAAUGCCCUGAACAAGGCUCCGGCUUCCUUGGCCAGGCACCCGCCCUGCUGUGGGGGAGGCGGCGCCCAAGAGAAUGCGAUGGCGGGCACUCCAAGGGCAGAGGGCCUUUGACUCCUGUCCUCUGACAGUGCUGGGGAUGGCGAAUCCCAGCCUCUUGUUUGCUGUUAGAUCCCUGGGGCUUUGAGCGAGUCCUCUGCCCUCCCCUAGACACCCCCCCCCCCCCCCCCUCCUUUAUGAGUAUUGUUUUUAAACUGUCCCUAUUUGCCAAGGAAGGACAGUCCUCCCUGUAUCACCUUCCGGGGCCACCAGGCUGGGCCAUGUACCCCAGCAGGAGGGGGUGGUGUUGGGUCCUUGACAGCAUUGCCCUGGCCAGGGCCAGCUCACAGCCUGGCACCUGGGAGGGAUCCUCAGCAGAGGGUCCUGGGUGGACAUUCCCCCCCCCCGGCCAGUGAUGUGCAAAUUUUGUGGAGGCAGAAGACCCAGGACUGGGUCCAAAGAAAGGGUGGGGUUUCCUCAUUCCUUUCUGUCUUCAUACUUGGCCUCUUGUUUGUGGGUCUCAGUACGUUUAUCGGCCUCACCGGGUUUCUCCGGAAAGUGGAGAGAACCCAGAAGUGAGUGACCUUCAUGUGGAAUGGGGCCAGAGGAGGCCGGAGGGCUGACUAGGUUCUCCCAAUCCGCAGGGCUUUACUGCGGGAGGUGCUGUGGGGGCGGCAGGUGGGAAUCGGAGGCACAAGGGCUCCAGCAGCGAGGUCGCCUCUGAGCUGGGACCAGACCGGGUGGGUCGCCCAUGCUUAAGUCCAUCCGGUGCCCCCGUCACCCUCGCUGCACAUCCACAUGCCCUCCGUGCCCUGUUCAUUUCAUCAUCCUCUUGAAGUAGAUUUAUUCAAAAAAAAAAAAAAAGAUCCUCACAUUUAAUUAAAAAGAAAUCUUUGUCACUACCAUAAAUGCAAUCCGACAAAAUGUCUAGUAAUUGUCGACACAAGUUCGUAGCGGUGAAAAUGCAAACAUUCAUCACGGAGCUGCUAAAAUCUUGGGCUUUGUGUAUGUUCCUGGUGGUCUCCGUGGGUGUCUGGUGGUGAUGUUGGGGGUGAGCUUGACGUUGGCAAGAUGUAAUGAGUGGGGUGAUUCGUGCCGACUGGUGACCCCACCAAAGACGUUUCGGGAAGGCCUCCCUGCUGCUCGACCAGAGGCCCCCCGGGCAACGUGUCAGCAUCUUCAACGUGGGGGACACGCAGUGUCUCCCUCAGAGGCUGGGCGAGGUUGGACUGAAUUCAUCUAAGGUGGUGUGAACAGUGCCUAGUGCAUAGUAAGCGCUCAGUUAAGUGCUAACAGCCGCCAUAACUUGGGAGAUCCCAGCUGAGGGCUGCCCUGGGUGGGGGGGGGGGGUCCCCUCAGCCGCAGGCUUGGCGACAGGGGCGGGGACAGACGUGAUCUCCAGGCCCCUCCCGCUCUCCACCCAUCUCUCUUGCUCUCCAACUCCCCCGUUGGAACAGGUGCGGCCAGGCGGGAUGCCCAUCAGUUCCCUCACGAUUAGAGAAUUAAAACGAAGAUGUGGUCAUGGCAUGAGUCAUCGCGAAACUCCCCUGUUGGGAUGGGUGGUCGUCUGUGGCCCCUGGAGGCUCCGGAAUGGACUCUCAGGGAGACCGCUGGUGUGCACACGCUGGGGGCUUGUCGGCUCUGCGUCUGCUGCUGUGUCUGAGCAGCCCUGGUUGUUUCUGGAAUGGGAUGUGUGGCUUGGAGGGAGAAAGUUGCUGUGGGAAGCAGUCCCAGGUUCCCUGGUGGGACUGGAAAUUCUGCCUCAAGCCCUGGAAUUUGGACUUCCUGUUUGGCCUGGCUUUGUUCCCCCACAUAUUUGGCUCUGGCACAUCCUCUCCCUCCCCUCUCGGGAUCCGUUUCCUCAUCUGUAAAAUGAGGGGGUUGCACUAGAUCGUAUCUAAGGCUCCUUUAAGCUUGAAAAAGCUAUGAUUUGCCUCCCACUCCCUCACUGUUCCCUCGGGCCUCUUGAUUGACAGAAGGAAGGUGGGAAGGAAACAGGAGGAACCAGAAGAGCCAGGGAGCUGCGUGAGGGGAGGAAGGGGCGAAGGGAGGAAAAAGCAAAGGUGUCAUAGUAAGUGCCCUAGAGAUGGCAGGUGGCUAGGCAAAUAAAUGACGAUAAAAGGGCAAAUCCGGGGAGAAAAGAACACGCUCAGGGGAAGGGUUUAUAAAGAGGGACCGCGAGAGUUGCUAGGAUGGGAAGACUGUGUUGCAAAGUGAUCACAGCUCGGGUUGUGGGAGUAGGCUGCCGGCUGGAGAGUGUCAACAGGGUUGGGGGGACAGAUGGCCUCCCUUCUCCUUUCCAGGUCAUUUUGCAAGAUGCCCCUUCCCCUCAUUAGGGGUGCCUCCUCUGGAAUCACAGCAAUGCAGUCAGUGCGUAAUGGCGUCUGUGGAUGCUCUAAGGCGGCCUUAGGAUAACGGGCUAGAUGGCCCAAAGACAGGUGGACAUUAUCCUGUGAGUAAUGACACGUGAGCCAGUCAUGGUGAGUUUUUCCAUGCGACCUGUGCUCCUUAUUGAAAUAGCAGCCAAUUGGUUGUCUCCAAGUCUAGAGGAAGAUACUUAGAAAGCGAGAGUAAAAGAAAUUAACAUAGAGAGGAUGUCUUCAUGACCUUGGGGUGGGCAAAGAUGUCUAAAACAGAACACCCAGAGCACUAACCACAGAAGAAAACUGAUAGCAUUUUAUGAAAAAUUACCACCUCUCUUCGUCAAGAAGUACUAUUAAAAACAUGGAAAGGCAGGAUGCCUGGGUGGCUCAGUCGGUUCAGCAUCCGACUCUUGGCUUUGGCUCAGGUUGUGAUCUCCCAGUUCGUGGGAUCGAGCCCCGAGUCCGGCUCCGGACUGAGCAUGGAGCCUGCUUAAGAUUCUCUCUCUCCCUGUUUCUCUGCCCCUGCCCCCCGCCCGUGUUCUCUCUCUCGCUCUCUUUCUCAAAAUAAAUAAACAAACCGUAAAAAAAAAAAAAAAAAUCAUGAAAAGGCGAGCCUCAGACCCGGAAGAAGAAAUCUGUAACACAUAUAUCCAACCAAGUAUUUGUUUUCAGGAUAUAUAUAGAACAACUGUAAAUCAGUAAGAAAAAGACAAUGACCCCAUAAAAAUUGGACAAGAGGCUUAACAGACACUCAUAAGAUAGUCUAUCCAGGUGACCAAACAAACUAUAAAAAGGUAAGCAACAUCAUUCAUUACUUAUGGGGAAAAUGCGCAUCAAAACCACAAGGAAAUAUCACCACACACCCACCAGGAUGGCUAAAAAGAAAAGAGUGACAAUACCAGGUGUGACUGAAAUGCGGAGCCAUUGGAACUAUGACACCUUGCUGUGGGGGAGUGUUGAAAGGCACAAUCACGGAGGAAAAGUGUUUGGUAGAUUCUGUUCCAGCUAACAAUAUGUCUGUUCCAUAACUCAGUCAUGCCCCUCCUGGGUACAUGUAUCCAAGACAUAGGAUGACACAGAGAUGUGAUGGACAAAAAUGUUCAAAGUCACGGUCUCCAGACUCGAAACACCCCACAUUCCCAUCAACUAGAGAUUGAAGCAAUAAAUGGUGAUAGAUUCAUACAGUAGAGUAUACACCACAGUGAGAGAGAUUAUGUGUUACAGGAUCAUUGAUAUGAAGGUCAAGAAGAGGCGAAGCUAAAACAUGAAGAGUAAACUCAUAGUUAUAUAUCUGGUGGAGGUAUGGACUGAGAAGGUGCAUGAGAGAACCUUGUGCAGCGCUAGAAAUAUUCUAGGCCGGACCGGGGUGGUCUUAUAUGAGUGCAUAUGCAUGUAAAUGAUUAUCGCGCUGUCCCUUUAAGAUGAACGCAUUUUAUUUUAUUUUACUAUUGUAUUUAUGUUUUCAUUUUAAUUCCAGUUAACGUAUAUAUACGUAUAACGUAUACGUAUAACAUAGUGUUAUAUUAGUGGCAGGUAUGGAAUAGUGUAUGUAAUUCAACACUUCCGUACAUCACCCUGUGCUCAUCACAAGUGCAUUCCUCAUGCCGUCUCCUGUAUUUGUGUUAUACUUCGAUUUAAAUAAAUGAAAAGGACGACCUGGGUGGCUCAGUCGGUUGAGCGAGCGUCCAACUCUUGAUUUCGGCUCAGGUCAUGAUCUCACGGUUGUGGGGUUGAGCCCUGGAGUCGGGCUCCCGGCUGAGCCUGGGGCCUGCUUGAGAUUCUCUCUUUCCUUUUCUCUCUCUGCCCCUGCCCCCUGCUUGUGUGCACGUGCGCUUGUUCCCUUUCUCUAAAGAACAAAACAAAAUGAAACAUUGAAUGGGGAAACUUCCCAUGAAUUUAUUCUAGUUGGGAGACGACCUGUGGUUUCCCAUUCACCUGCUCAUCCUAACUGUUCUGGGUUGUAAGUUCUCUGAGAAGGAAAUACUGAGCAUUGGCCACAGCAGUGAAUAUCGUGAGCCAAGCCUGGGCCCCAUCCCUGCUCCUCUGAAAUUGGGAGGCUCUCGGGAAGUUAUUUAACUUCUCAAAGCCUUUGUUUCCUUGUCUGUGAAAAGGGGACUGUGGUACUUACCUUACAGUUUCAUCGCGAGGGUUGAAUGAGGUCAUACCUAAGAAGCACUCAGCUCAGCACCCGGGUCAUAGCAAGUGCUCAGUAAAGGACUGGGUAGAAAUGGCAAAGCCAACACUGAACUGAUUCUACCUAGGUCUCUUAAAGAGGCUCAGCACCUUUCUCCUCGAAACGAUUUAGCACACGUUUGAAAAAAAGUUACACUAAUGUUAUCUCCACAAAGUAGAGCCAUUUUGUGGAUGGGGCGGAAUCUCAGUGCUUCAGUAAGGUGUGGGGGAGGGAGGUCAUUUUCAGCUGGACGGGGCAGAGAGAGGUGUUAAAGCUGGUGGGACUGUCAGCAAUGGGUAAGAUUUUUGUCACAGAGAGAGGACCAGGAAGGUCAUUCAAGUUUGGGGGUUGGGGGAGGGAGGUGGUACCCGGAGGGCAACGGUGGAGUCUGGGAAUGGUGAGUGGGCCAUUUUGAGAUGGCGCCUAAGAUUUAUGGAGGGACAAGUGGAAGAUGAGGUUGGAAAGGAAGACUGGCUCAGAUGAGGUUCCCCCCUGCCAAGGAACCCAGACGUUUUCUACAGGAAGAGGAGUCGCUGACCAUUGCUGAGCAGGGAAGGUACAAGAUGAAGCCGGGAUGUGCAGACCCACAGGGGAGGUCAAAGUGACUGGGCCAGGAGGCCAUUGAGGAGGGGAAGCAUGCAGGUUCAGGUGGGAAGGAGUUAUAUGUGAUCUGGGCAGAAGCAGCGGGAUGGAAAUGAAAGGGUAGGUAGAUGGGGAGGAGCGGGGAUGGACUCCUGAAGUCUUGGAGCCAAUUUCUUGAGUAUAUGAAGCAGAGAGAAGGUCGGUGCGGGGAUGCCAAUGAAAGGGAUUUCUCAACGGUUCCACCAACCGGGGGGGGAGGGGGGAUGCAUCUCAUCCCUUCCCGGGCCCUCACCUUCAAAGUGUGCUAUUUGCACGUCCCCAAGAACACACUGCCCUCUUCCGGGUUCAGGCUUAGUACGGGACACCCAAAGAACGGACACAGCCUUUCUACAAACUUCCUUUCCACCCUCGCCGCCUGGGAACCACACGGAGGGAGGUGUGUCAAGAGCAAAACUGAGCCAACAGCAGAACCGGUUCCCAGUAUACUCUGCCGAGGGGUCGGAAGGGUCUUUCGGCAGCCUGCGCAAAGCUAAGGAACGGCCUCCUGAUUUUAUGGAGAGACGCAAACCGUGUUUGGAAUAAAUAUCCCUUUGUUAUUGUUGUUUUACAGGGCUGUAGCAGUGGCCAGGAAGAAAACCGCCCCCUCUGAAAGUUGUUUUGGUGACUGUUCUUUGGAGCAUUGUUCUAAAAAUGGGAAAUUACAUAUUGCCAUGCCAAAGGAAACAAACACCUGCAAUUAAAGGAAUACCUACCACGAGGUGGCUCUCAGAGCCCCAGCCAGUCCUGGAUGCGGGGCUGUUACACAAGUUUCACUUGGUGCUUUCUUCACUUUUAAGGGGAUCGGGUGCUUCUCCAUUUGUAACCAGGGUGGGCUUUGGCGACUACGGGGCUCCGGUGAUUGUCUUUUACUCAUUCACUCAAUAAACAUCUAUCGAGCGUCUCCGUUGGGUCAGUGUUGAUGGAUUUCACGACUCCCUUCUCUGGCCUUGUUAAAAAUCACCCAGAGAAUCGGCUACAGGCAGGCGGCUUUCUGGUUACUUUUUGUCAAUUUUCAGAGUCAGUGCACGACUUCCGCCUCUAAAUGAUGGGCAGCUAGAGA
rnacentral:lncRNA from 1 species